rnacentral:lncRNA from 1 species
UAUAGAUCUGGCACGGCUUUGCUCUCUUAACUCCCAGAUCUUUGUUUCGGUGGUGGCGGCCAGAAAGAGCAAGAGAGCGCUGUGCUCUCAACUUCCCUCUGGCUUCCUUUAAAAACAACAACACACAAGUCCUCUUCCAACUUUUCCUCCAGUUAUUCACUUCUCAACCCUACUGACAGCAUUUGCCGAAAAUCUACACUCCAGCUUUGGUAAGUGAUGCGUUGCUCCAUUGCAAAAUGGCACUGCUCGGAUAGCCUCUGCGCGCGCGUGUGUGUGUGACGUGUGGAAGAGAGAGAGAGAGAGAGAGAGAGAGAGAGAGAGAGAGAGAGUGUAUGUUUUGUUUUGUUUGCGAGCAGCGUUGCCCAAAUACUUUCACAUCAAACAGGACAGAGUUAAACUAUUGUGGCGUUUGAAAUCGCAACAGGAACAAGCAUGAUCACUAUCUGUUGGCUCGGACAGACUUUAUGGCACGAAAACUGAAUCUGCCCAGCAACUUUUUGUUGCUGGUAUUGUUUUUGCUGGAGCUACUUUGAGGAGAUCGAGGCCAUGAUAUUUACAUUUUUUUAUACCAGGGCGUAAUAACAAAGCUGUCACGGGGCUCUGAGAUAAUUCAUUUAGGAUUUAAGGGCAAUUUAAUAUUAUUAUUAAUGUUAUUAAUAUUAAUCACACUAGCACACUAGCACUAGUAUUGUUGGAAAUAAUGCACCUAAAAUAUCCUUUUGCAAUUUAAAUGAUAUCUGCAUAUAGCGUUUUCCAGCCUCCUACAAAUAAACGUUUUCACAUGAACUUAAACUAUUCUUAUGAAUGGCUUCUUAAUGCGCCCAUUCUAUUAAAUUGUAACUCGGAGUGACUGGAACUCACAGGUAUUUAGAAAAGGUUUAAUUUGAAUUCCUUCUUAGUCCCCCCCUUCCCUUCCCUCCCCCCUUUUUUUUAAGGAAAGGAAAGUGAACAUAACUGCUGUGUAGAGUUGACCUUUCGUUGACACGACUUGGUAGGAGACAGUUUGCAAAUGAGGACUGGAUAAAUUAGAUACUAAAGUUAGCGGGGUUUAGAUGGUACCCGGCGAUAAAUCCACUGGAAUUAGCCAGCGAAGUAGUUAGUCCUCGAGGUCUGAAAGUUUAACAAAGUUCAAGGGAGUCUGAACGGCAUCUCGAGAGAGCCCUGGAAACUACAAUGGAAGAGAAGAUGAUUCCCUCGGGUGAAAAAGCACAGGCAGUCAGUAGCACUAGCGGCGGCGGCGGCAACAACAACAGCACCUUCAAGUUCAUUGCACUUUCCGCUUCUCGAAAGCUUUGGCUUUGGUUGUUCUCACUUUUCUGUAGUAGUUAUAACAAUAGCGUGGGCGCAGUGAUUUCAGUUCUUAGAAAACCCAGCGCCGAGCAAGCGUGUGAAACAGUAUGCUAACAGUUGUGCUAACAAGUGGUGUUACUUUCUUAACGCUGGAAGUGUGAACGUAUUGCAUUCCUCAAAAACAGCGUCCUUAAAAAAAAGUGGGUCUAAAUAAAGAACUUCGCGGUUUAUAAAACUGCACACCGAGUUUACUCGUGGAUUCAAAUGGAUCUCUACCACAGGGAGGGGGAGAGACUUUGGCUUCCGGAACAAAGCAAAAGCUGCACAAACAAACAAACAAACAUAACAAUAAAAGCCAUUACUCUUCUUGCCCGCUCUCCCCUCCAUUCUUCUUACUGUGUUUACACAGUUUAAAGGAGCUGGAGAUCAUCUCGCCCUUGAAUGCCUGUUCGUGUUAUUAAACUUUAUAUAUUAUAAGACCCUCAUAUCUUUGGGUAGGUCUUAGUAUGUGCUUUGUUUUUUUAUAGCAUUGGUGUUAUAUUAAAAUCAAGCUGUUUGAUUUGAUACGGUAAUACGAGACUUCCCACUGUCUGAAGGGCGAAGACGAGGUUCAAUGCUAGAAAAUGUCAAUAUAACUGCGGAGGACCGCCCCCCCCACUUCCCUUCGCACACCUGCCCCCGGCUCUGUUAACUUGUCAAAGGUUACUUAGUGAAGUCGUGCCACGUACUGACAACUUUUGCAAUGGACUAAUGUCUGUAAGGCUACAAUCCUAUCGAUACACACUUACCUGAGAGGAAGCCCCAUUGAAUACAUUGGGACUUAAUUCUGAGUAUCACACAGCAAUGCACUGUAAGUUACUUUCGGUAGGAAUGUUCCCCUCCCCCUCCGAUCAACAUUUGGUGUGUGUGUGUGUGUAGACAUUUAACGGUUUUCUUGCCCACCUAAUAGACUUUCACCUAGCACCCUAGAAUGGCAGAUUCCACGAAGUCCACGUUUUCAGCCAUUUUAACUAGCUAAAGUCUUCUUCCUACGCCAGGCACAUGUCAACGACACUCACUUUUAUGCCAUUUUGAACAAGAUCUCGUGCCAAACUUACUGUUUCUUGGAAACAGAAAUAAAUGAUGUUGACUAGGUAAGAAGCAGCGGGCAAUUUUGCAUUCUCUAAGCUGGCAAAUUGUCUAUUGUUAGACAAAUUCUGGGGUGUCUGGUGGAGAAGUGAACAGCCCCCUCCACCAAAUGAAUUAUCAGCGAGAUUCUGCUUCGAUUAAGUCCUUAUCCUAGUCGGAAAGAUAUUUCAGCUGUACAUAGAUAGAGCUCAAUUCCCCCCCCAAAAAAAUAGGUCUUGGACCCCAUUCUUCCACACGAUUUUGGGGGAGACAUUGCCAGUUAACCAAGCCUGCUGGGGAGCAAACCCCUUUCAUAAUAAAUGCAAUGAUCAAGGAAUGACUUUAGGCUAGAGGGAUGGUGGAUGUCUGACAGAGAAGUGGAAUCGCACUCAGGUCACAUUCUUUGUAGUCAGGUUUUGGUAAAGUACCUGGCUUUCCCUAUGAUAUAUACAGUGCGCUAUAUAUGUUCAUAAAACAGCAGAUACGCAUCUGUUAUUGCCCCCAGUCUUAGACUAUGCUGACAAGGUCAUGGCAAUCUAUGUGGAAGAACGGCAUUUCGAUGCUAAGUACAUUAACGUAGUGCAUUAGAGUGAAAUUAGGGGGACUCGCGUCCAAGGAAGUGUACUUAAGAGAGGAGUAUAAGACGUAGGAGCCUUAGUUGCAGCAGGUUUCCUUUAGUGGAUGAAGCGCCCUCCCCGUCAAAUAUAAAGUAGGUCUGGCCCUGGAGGCUCCAUCUCGAACACUCGUUUUGGCAUAUCGUCUAGCCUAUGAGUAAAUGCGGAGUAAAAGGACAGAGGUAUUGGAAACAUAUUUUAAGUUUGGCGAAAGAGUAAGCCUCAAAUCACAAACCGCAGCCUUUCCUGAUUUAGUUCGGACCGCCCAAUCUUAGUUAGAGCAGCUACCUGGGUCUAAAUCGAUCUGAAAUGCAUAGAAAUGGCAGCCAGAUCCUAACAGUAUCUAAAGAAGCGUGAUUGACCUCAUUGUGGCACAGGUACCGAUAAGUGCUUUUCGGACAGCAGCUGCGAUCCCAUAGCUAGAUCACAUCACCUGAAAGUAUUCCAAUCCAAACUGAAGUCCACGAGACUGGAGUUCUCAUUGAAGUCAGCUGAGAAUGAGGCUCACGCAAAAGAUCUUUCCGGUGGACAGUGCCCAGCGUGUUUAGGAUUCGGGUGUAAACUGGUUCAAAUCCAAGUAUUGCAAUGUAUUUGCAUUGGGAACAAGCUCAGAUAUCUGAUUACAUUGUUGAUAUUACAGAAAUCUACCAAUCCAUGUUCAGGAGGGAGAGGUGCCAAUAUCGCUGCGCGCCGCGUUCAGACCUCCACACACCCUACUACUUUCUUCCAGGUCGGAUUUGAACUCUCUGAAAUCAAUUCAAAUAUAUAUAUAACAUAAACGGGGUUUCUUAUAAACACAGUUUGGUCAGAAUACAGUUUGGCUUGCUGGGGGAAACAUCACCUUAGGAUGGUGCGCGUGUAUAUAGAGCACUUGUGUGUAUAUACCAGAUGUGUAUAAAUUCGCCACCAACAGCCAUAACCCGGGGAGAAGAUGGAAACAAACUGGGGGGGAAAUCAGAACAGAAAAAUAAUGGCAGGUUUAAAAAUUGUCUUAGCAGAACAACUCAUCUAAAAGCGGACUGGGUGGGUGUCGUCUGACAAUAUCCUGAAAACAGGCAUAUGUUGAAAAUAAAUUAGAAUUGCUAUCAGUUCUAUUUCAAUCCAGUUUUUAUUGCAAGGCACCACAUAAAAGCAGUUUGUAAACACUGUCUAUACUAUCUUCAUCCUGCAGUCUGUCAUUUUUAGACGGUUCUUUGUAUCUGCAGAACAUUUAGUUAAUUAAUCAUGCUUGCGUUUUUCUUUUCUUGUCUGGAAUCCACAGUUUAAGGAAUGCGAAAUGGUUCAGCGUAGCGCACGCUUUUAGACGACUGUUUACUGUCUACUGCUGUUAUCUCUACUUUAGCAUGCCGGCUGUAAGAGGGAACUACGACAUACCUAUAUGUCUGGGCUAAUGUAAAAAGGAUAAUUUUAGGAAAGGGAAAAUGAAAGAUGGCCCAUUCACGGAAAAAGGGCAACUCUUCUCCCCAUAGCUAAUGCCAGAUUUUCUACUGACUACUCCAAGAAUACAGUAUCACUCAACAUCACCCAACAAUCAAGUACCAUGGAUUUCCCCAUGAUUUUCUUUCAUAUAACAAGGAAACCAAGAUCGGUGUGCAAAGUUUUUAUUUUAUUUUAUUUGGUAGGCUCUUUAGCAUCUUUCUGUUUCUUAGCCACCCCUGGGUUCUUUUUUUCGUUACUAAAGCCAGCUUCUUGGGGGGAGCCACUAUGACGAGCACCUCUUUAGCCUAGUGUUUGUGAAUGAAUUCCAUUGUGUCUAUCUUAAAACGAAAAUAAGUUGCUGUAUGAUGUAACUGUUUUGAUGUAAAGUUUAUGUAAUCAGGAGGUGCAGAAGAGUCAACAGAACGUGUUCUAAAUUUGCACCUUUCUCAUAUAAUCACUUUUCUCCCUCUAACGGGAGUUUAACCUCUCCCCCCCCCCCAUAUCUUUAAUUGUUGAACGUUCCUGGUUGCAAGUCAUUGCAGCCAGAAAGGUUAGAUGUAUGAUGGUGUGUUUUCAGAGACUUGAAAGGGGUUUCCCAAUCCAUACACCCCAUAUUAAGUGGCUUGUGGAUUGGGCUCACCACUAGCAGCAAGAGACAGAAAAUGUUUUCAAGGUAUUAACUUGCUAAUAGUCAUGAGGUGUGAUCGCUAGGCUGCAUUCAUCCAUCUUUCCUCUGAAUCAUUUGAGAGGUUCCUGUUGUUUUAUUGGGAACAGGAUCAGACCUUAAAUUGAAAGUGGGAAGGCAGUAAAAGCGAUUGCACAGGUGCAGGGCUGCUUUUGAUUAUUAUUAAAUUUUGUAUUGAGGACUUAAUGUACCUGGUGGCACCAAUUAUUUUCCUGCAGUCAUUAGCAAACAUUUCGUUUUAAAAAUAAACAUAUUUGACUCCCAAAAAGACUGAGAAAGUAGAAAGUAAACACCUCCAACACCAGAAUUCUUUAUCUACCUUUAAGGUAGAACCUUAACUAAAUAAACACAACUGAUUUCACUGUUUGAAAAACAAUCAUAUAUAUAUAUGUUUAGUCAGAAGCAAGUUCCACUGUGUUCAGUGGGAUUUACUCACUUGUGAGCAUGUUUAGGAUUGUAGCCUUAGGGUUUUAUAGGCCUGAAGGAGAUCCUUAAUAAGUACCAUAAGUGUUAACAUAAUAAAAACGCCAUCAAAAUAAUACCUGCAUAAUGACUAAUAUUUCUGUUAAUUGCUUUAAAAAUGAUUUCUGACACUGUACUACAGAAUCAAAAACAGGCUAAUAUCAUUCUAUUACUACUAUCUAAUAUUCAAAAUAUAUGAAAUAAUUUUAAUUCACUUACCCCCUUUUAAAUAAUAACUUUAUAACAGAGGAUGUCAACCCCCCCAAAGAAUUAUGCAUACUAUAAUUUUAUGAUAAAAUCUUCACACAGAAAGAUUUCUUUUGAGUAGGAUAUCUCCUAUAUCACAAAUUCAAAUACUGCAAUUCAUAUGAAAAUGCAUUCCAAAAUGUUAUAUGAGGCUUUAAUCUAUCAUACCAGGCCAAAUCAUUCCUUGUUACUGAAAAAUAAAUCUCAUUGACAUAAACUGUAUUCUCUCAUAUCAGAAUUGCAUUUAUAUUUAACCAUUGAGAUAUUAGAACUCAUAUUAAAAGUCAUACACACUAUCACAAAGUUGCUUAAUAGGAGAUAAAGAGACCCUGGAAUGAAAAUAUAAAAACAGAACCAAAACCCUACCCUCAGAAAACACUGAAAAUCUAUCUGGCAACCAUAUGGAAUGUUUCACUCUUUUCCACACAUCCUUUUGAUUAUCUUAUCAAUAAAGCCAGAACUCCCCCUACUUGCUUAUUUAGAUAUAUAUCAUUAUCAACAGAUUUUUUAAAACAAUAAAUAACCUCAAAUUCAUAUUUGUGCAUUUAAAAUACACCUGUGGGCCACUAAGAAAAAAAAAAUACUUGGCAUCAAGUAUUUUUCUGAACAAUUGGCUCAUAUUCUGUAACAACUAUGCCUUAUCAGAUAAGGAAUAUGAUCCAACACAGAGUUAGGUCUUAGUUAAAUAUUCUUAAAUCUGUGUUGGAUUGUGACCAGAAAGAAUAUGUACCUUAAAAAAACAACACCCCACCAUCACUGCUACCAUCAUAAUGCCAUGCUAAUAAAAUGUAUUAUAUCGUGGGGAAUGAAAUGGAUGCGUUAGGAAAGCAAUGCCAGAAAGCAAACGGAAUAAACUCCAUUCUUUAUACCUGUGAAUUCACUGGGCAUUUCUUUAUGUACUAGAUGUAUGUCUCUUUCUUUUUCUUAUUUUAAGUAAACAGCACAAAACACUAGCAAGUGGCUAAUGUCAAACAUUAACAAGCAAACCAAUGUCAAAUGCACACUUUAUUUUGUAAAUUAGUUAGAAACAUCUACAACACUGUUGCUUGUUUAUAAGUUAACAUGCCCAAUAUCAGGUCCCUUUGGGCAAAGAUAUGUUGUCAUGAGCUAUUUUCUUUGGUUAUCUAUUGAUACAUCAUUUUAAAAUAUGUUAUCAGUGCAUGGUUCUUAUUCAGAUUGGGUUCUACAGUUAUAUGCAUAUAGUAUUUUUGCCUGACAAUACUGUAUAAACAUAAGGUGUUACAUUGUAUGUGCCAAAAAUUCUUAUUCUGUGAUUAACAAAAAAGAAAACAACCGUAUGUGUGUAAUUUUUGUAUUCUGUAUAAAUGCACUGUAUAUUUUAUAUUAUCAACUCAGUAUUUGAGAGUCUUUUUAUGUGUGUGUGUAGAAUGUGGGAUUUGUUUUCUUGUAUUUUUGCAAAAAAACCCCUGUGCAGUGAAGUGAGAAAAUGUGUUAUUAUUAAGGGACAGUGGGAUACACACAUAGGAGAAAAUUAAAGACAGGUAGCAAGUGAAAUUCCCACUAUGAUCUAUGAGGGCUAGUAUCUUUCCUUUUUUUUUAUUCAGAAGAAAAAGGAUAUCGGAGAGGAAUGCCAACUCUAAACCCGACAGCAGAUCCUAUGCAGAAUUUUCGAGAGAAAGUGGGGAGAGGACAAACUAGUUUAUAAUGCAGCCUUGUUGCAUGUAUUUUCAUGGAAGAGAAAUGAUCCAUUUGUUUCCCCCUUUAUCAGAUUUAAAGCAAGCAGUUUGAAUUCCCCCCAAUAUGUGUACUAAGUGCAUAAAGUAUUUUGAAUAAAUGCCACGCAGCUCUUUGGUAGCUUGCAAUUACUGUAGCACUGGGACUGUGCUUUGUGUGUGACUAUAAAUCCUGCAAGCUAGCACUGUUAUUUCUAACACACCAUGCUGGAUUUUAUAUAAGUCUGUAGGUUUUGUUCCAAGGAAAACAAAAUAAUGAAAGAAUAUAAAUAUUAGAUACCAUUGCUCCAGUGUAUGGUGCUGUAAAUCUCUGAAGGUUUACAAAGAGGCACUGACAACAUGUUGUGCAGCUGCAUGUAACACCAUUUAAUGGUCUGAUUUGAUGAACUAGUUUCUCAGCACCUCAUUGACAAUCACUGAUCGUACACAAACAAGUUUUGGAAUGUCCCAUAGAGCUUUUCUAACACCCUUAUUAUUUGUUCACCCUAAAAUAAAUUCAAAAGCCCCAAUCCUUUGCUGCUCUUAACUCAGAGAACAAUAUUUUAUGUGACUUCAAGGGGAGUUGUGUCUAAGAGGAUGCUGAAAUGCUGUCUGUAUCACCUCUGUGCAAUGUCUCCACUAUUUCCCCCUCAACAAUUUAAAGGACAAGUUGACAGUACUCUUGGACUGUGUGAAAAUAAGACACAUUUCUACCAGGGCUAGCCAUAAAACAAGACGUCUCCAACUCCCAUAGCUCAACAGGUAAUUUAGGCCACCUUGUCAUAGGGCCAGUAAGAGCUGUUUCAAUGCAAUGCAUUGUAUAUGCAAUGCAUUUGUGAUAAGCAGCACACUGUACACUGAAAACAUCAGGGCACUGGAAUAGUAUUACAAUAUCACUAUACAAUCAUAUUAGAUUGGCUCCAGAGUGGUUAAAAGGUUACAGACGUCCUCACUUUCAGCAAAGCCACUGCAGAAGCCCAAAGGCUUGCAGCCUAUUUCUCUCACCCUAUUAUCAUAUUUUGUGCAGUUGUGUGACCUUAGCGGAUGCACCCCAAUUGGACUCUAUGGCAGAAAGUAUAGAAAUGCAAAUUAAAAAUAAUAAGCAUUAUUUAUAGGCACAAAAACAGGCAGUUUUUCAAUUCUACCAAAACUGAGUUUCAGAGAAACAAAUGAUGGGGAAAUGUGCAUGGAUGAGGGAAAGAGAACAACUCUGUAAGUGUCCCGUGGUAGCUCAGCUGCCCGAGAAUCACCUGAACCACUUUUACUGGAGCAAAUAGUGGACACAAAUGUGCUAGAAAGCUAUGAGCCAGCACAGCUCCAGAGAGGUGAAACAACAGCAUUAUAGAUAUAGACCAAGUGGGGAACUCUGAAAUGUAAUAAUAAGCACAUACAAACAUGAUAUAUACAUAACACACACACACACACACACACACACACACACACACGUUUGCUUUUCCAGCAUUAAGUUUGAACUUCAUUAAAUUCUGAUUCUCAAAUUAGGCACAGGCAGUGAACUUUUUUAUUGAACUGCAUAUGGCAACUUAGUAUACUUCAAUGAGGUUAAUUCAACUUAAAUAAAAAACACACACACAUCAUCUUUAUUGUCUUGUGGAUCACACUUUAUUUGGCUCUGUAACCUACCCUGUUCCCAUGAACUCAGGGUGGUGCUGUAAUUCUGAAGAUGAAAAAUUGAACAGAAAUAUGUUGAAGUGGGUAUUCUAAUUUGCCCUGUAUAUGUUUAUCGAAUAUCUUUUGUAUGCACAGAAUUCCACUUGUGCCUCUUCCUCUAACAUGAGAGAGAAUCUGCUUUAUCAUAAGGCAAUGGUCGUGUGAUGGAAAGUUUGUUCAUAGAUGUCCAUAGGAGGAGGAUAGCAGCAAGGCUUUUUAUGAUGUUACUCACAAGAAAGAUCUAUAAACACCAGAAGAAUGUAAGCACCUGAAUUUGUGCUUAAUUUUACAUUGAUUUCUUUGGUUUUUUUUUUUUUUUUAAAUUGUAUACUAUACUACUUAUAAGAAUAAAAUGUUUGUAUACCUUAGAUUACAUUCAAUAUGACUAAUUUCUCUUAAAUUCUCAAAGUUCUCUUGAAAAAUUGGUAAAUUGUACCAUUGGGCUCUGAACAACCACAAUGAUUAAAUGAAAUUUCUGAUAUGGAGAAACAUCAUAGACAUUAACAUAGCCACAACUAAUACGGUUUAACAAUCAAAUAGAUAGUUUUUCUGCUAGUUGCAUAUGUUAAAAUUGUAAUGAAAUAUGGAGUUCUCUGUGUGCACAGUAAAUGUAUGGCUGGGCUCCUUAUAUGUUAUAUUUAUUAAAGAAAACAAGUGAUCACACUGCAAUAUUAAAAAAAAGUAUGUAGGAAGAAAAUAAUAGUUUCUAUCUUUUGAAACAGCACCUUCUGAGAACAUAUGUGGGUUUAAAAACAGUUGAAAAUUGAACAUAAAAAAUGUCAAAGUAUUGAUGUGUGCUUAAAUAGUACCAUAAAAGGAAUGGUUUGUUUUCAGUACCCAGAAAUUGCACUUGUUUUACUGAAAUAAAGUCAAAUGAAUGCUUGUAUCUAAAUUUGGAUGAAUGAAUGGGUAGAUAGGGCCACCAACAGGAGGGUACAGGGUGUAUACAUGUACCAGUCCUGAGCUAGCAGGAGCCUCAGACUCGUAGCUUGAAGGAGAAGGAGAUUAUUAGUUGGACCUUCUGAAGAAAGUUAGAGCACAAAACAGAGCGGCAGCUCUAAGGUUCACCACUUGGCAGGCAGCACCAUUGCUAAUGAGAUUUAAUCACUGUUUCUAAGCAAUCAGAGGAACAAAUGCUGACUGCUCUCACCCUGGGAUGUGGGAGGUGCCCCCUCCCAGAGCAGCAGCAAAAGCAAGAGAGGCUCACGGUUGCUAGCCUGAUGCUGGAGGAUCCUGGGGUUAAUGUUUGUUUAAGCACUUACUGUCAUGUCCAGAUUAUUUUGUUCACUCCCUGAGUGUGCUGCCUCUACAAAAUGAAACACAAUUUACUGGCUUUGAUAUGUUUUACUCAAAAAUUGUGAGUUAAACCACAGAGCCUAGGGCUUGCCGAUCAGAAGGUCGGCGGUUCGAAUCCCCGUGGUGGGGUGAGCUCCCAUUGCUCGGUCCCUACUCCUGCCAACCUAGUAGUUUGAAAGCACGAAGUGCAAGUAGAUAAACAGUUACCACUCCGGCGGGAAGGUAAACUGUGUUUCCGUGUGCUGCUCUGGUUCUCCAGAAGCGGCUUAGUCAUGCUGGCCACAUGACCCGGAAGCUGUACACUGGCUCCCUCGGCCAGUAAAGCAAGAUGAGUGCUGCAACCCCAGAGUUGGCCACAACUGGACCUUUACCUUUAAUCCCUUGAAAGAGAUUAGUCCUCUUUCCUACAAAGAAAAAAGGGCUCUGCUGGACCCUGCCUCCCAGUUUUCCAUGUCUCCCACUCAGCCACCAUGGGUUCAGUUGUCAUCACUGGGCUGUUAUUUAUUAAUAUGCAGUACUCAUUUAAAAAAUAAAAAAGAACCAGAAAACUUACAGCUGCAGCAAGUUAAAAUUCCUAUAGACCGUACACAAAUAAAGAUGUAAAAAUCAUUUUGCUGUCCUUGAUAAAAAGUAUAUCAAGGAAACCAAAAUGAUUCUCAUAUCGGUUUUGCUGAGAGUUGUGAAAUUGCAUAUAUUAGUUGCUUGUUGUAUCUUGAUUUAACUCCCAGGAGCUCAAGACUAUGUCUCCCUUUUCCCCCUUUUAUCUUCAUAACUGUUCUUGGAGGUAGGCUAGGCUGAGACUUGGUAUCUCAUACAUCAAACCUGUGAAACCGCACACACUUAGAGGUGUGUGUGCUGUUGUUGUUUGCUUGUUAUUAAUCAGGGUUGGGAAACAUUUUUGGUUUUGGAUUCAUUUUGGUAUUUUGCUGUAAAUAUCAGGACUAUGAAGUGCUGCAGUUAAAACAAAGGGGCAGCUAUGAAUCACAUUAUAUACUUGUAUUGUGCAUUUCCACUCAGAAGUGCAAGGUUAUGUACAUUAUCUCUCCUCCCUGUCCCACUUUUAUCUUUGUAAUAGGAUCCAAAUCAAAAUAAUAAUAAUAAUAAUAAUAAUAAUGGCCUUGAGAGGUAGGCUAGCAUUUGCUUUCAAAUUUUGUUGGUGCCCUGUGUGAAACCAACAUUUGGUGCCCAACCACCUUCCAUUCUAAGUCAUUGUUGUAGCACCCCCCUGUAGUGCCCUCUCAGCUCAGCGCCCCAUGUGGGUGAACUGGCCAUGCUCCCCUAAAACCACCUCUGAGACUAGGAUAAAUUAAUACAGUGGUACCUCAGGUUACAUACGCUUCAGGUUACAGACUCCACUAACCCAGAAAUAGUGCUUCAGGUUAAGAACUUUGUUUCAGGAUGAGAACAGAAAUUGCGCUCUGGUGGCACAGCAGCAGCAGGAGGCCCCAUUAGCUAAAGUGGUGCUUCAGGUUAAGAACAGUUUCAGGUUAAGUACGGACCUCCGGAACGAAUUAAGUACUUAACCUGAGGUACCACUGUAUAUGUACAUAAGCAAUAGUUCUUGCCAAUAGAUUGAGAAACUGGGAACAUAAUCCAUAAACAAUGUACUGGGCCCAGGAAAUCCUGCUGGUACCUUUGGAUAGACAAAUGGAAGCUAUUUGUGUAUAGAGGAUCAUGUAGCCCUCUUAUUAAAUUAUGCAAAAAAGGUAUAUGCGUUUGAGAGAAGGCAGACUUUCAAAGCAUCUCACAAGUGUGCAAAUGACCAAAUGAUUGCACAUAGACAUGCUGAGGCUGCACAUAUAUGAGAACAGUCUAAAAAAUUACCCCCAACCUCAGCAGUAAGGAUGCACUGGCCACAGCAGGCCUGUUAAGAUUGUAUGACUGCAUUCUCUUAAGCUUGUCUGGGUUUUUCUUAUGCAUGUAAGCCUGUACUGUUUUUGUAUCAUUUCAAAAUCUACCAAAUAUCAUAUGCUGACAAGAGUCUUAAGGGAACAAAUAGGAUAAGAGGGAGCAUUUUGCUCAUUUUAUGGAGCUACUUGUCAUUGAAAGUGUUUUAUGAUUCUUAUCUCAAUCAUUGUUCAACAACCUUGUACAGUAAAUUAUAUUAUUAUUCCUAGAUUUAGGACUUGGAGAACUGUGGCUGAAAAACAGUGGCAUUUUCCAUGCAAAAGAAUUGAUUAAAGCUGCAAUCCAAGACUCCCCCUUACACUGUGGGGGUUUGGCUUGAGUGGAGGCAUCCCUCUGCCUGCUUCUGCUAGCUCAGCUGGCCUCCUGCUACUUGCAAAGCAUGUGGGUGGCGUGCGAGUGCAAAAAUUGUUGUAGACCAGAAGAAGGCACUGAAAAGUGUUGUUCCAAGGCAGGCUUAGCAACUUCAGGAUCUGCUGGAUCCCAAGCCACUCUCACAGCCAGCACUGGCAAGAAUAGCAUCUGAUCCAGGGAGAGCCAGUCUGCCAGUCUGUGAGAUAACAAGCCUCAUAUAACCCACUUGAGAGCCAGUGUGGUGUAGUGGUUAAGAGCAGUAGUCUCGUAAUCUGGGGAACCGGGUUCGCGUCUCCGCUCCUCCACAUGCAGCUGCUGGGUGACCUUGGGCCAGUCACACUUCUCUGAAGUCUCUCAGCCCCACUCACCUCACAGAGUGUUUGUUGUGGGGGAGGAAGGGAAAGGAGAAUGUGAGCCGCUUUGAGACUCCUGAAGGGGAGUGAAAGGCGGGAUAUCAAAUCCAAACUCUUCUCUUCUUCUUCUUCUUCUUCUUCUUCUUCUUCUUCUUCUUCUUCUUCUUCUUCUUCUUCUUCUUCCUGAAGUCUAAUUAAUGCAUGAAGGGGUUAACGCUAUAAAGCAAGCUGUCCUGUUAGCAAUAUGGCUUCCUAUCACUUUGGGAAAUAGGGUUUGAGGAGGUUUGAGCUGGGUGUUGCGGCUCAACCACAUAGCUCUCACCAGCCACUCUUGUAUAUCAAUAAUUUAGGAACUUUUACCACUUCGUACCUAAGCUAAUUUUUAUUGCCUGUGCAACUUUUCUGACUGAUUUAUGGGAAAGCACAUGAACCUGACCUUCAAAGAGUUUGUAAGUAAACCAUUUUUUAACUUACCAAAUGUGUGGUCUUUUCCUAUGUUGGGGGAAUUGGGUAAUUUCAGGAUUCACUUGGAACGGUGUAUUUUACAGUUCUAACAGCAAAUAUUUCCUCAUACUUUACUUGGCUGAAUAUUGUGUGACUUUAAAUCUCUGCUGCAGUUCUCUCACCAAAGAAUACUUGCCCCAAACUUGGAUCUUGGCACCCAGGAAUAUUUGCAUCAACACAGCCUGGAGAUGGGUUAGGGAUUGGGCCCAAUCUGCAUACCCACCCUUCCACCACAGUGGAAGUAACAGUCUCAAACAGUCUUACACUGUCUGAGAUCAUUCCCCCCCAUAGCACAGGAUGGUUGUACACUACCCUGAUAUUUUAUAUGGUGGUAUAUGAAUACAUAAAUAAAUAAAUAAAUAAGCACAUUUGAGUGAUUAAGGAAACAAUCCAAAGCAAAAUCUGUUGGGAUUUAGGGAUCUGGCAGAUUUCCAGCUAAACCAGGAGCAUCCUGGCAUAGCUGGGUUAUUCCAGUAACUCUCCUUCCUAGUUGGAGAUUCACCAAUGUAUUUUCCCCACCCCAGCUGAGCCUCAGGUGGCUGAGCUGAGCAUGGCAGAUCUUAAGCUAGUUUAAGUCCCCCCCCAAAAGGGGUGUGGUAUGGCACAUGCAGGACUGGAGAGGGAAGACUUCUGAUGGAUACUAAUCUCGUUCAACUCAAUCACAUGCCCUGGCGACCCAGUAUUAGUUAAGCUGGCAGAAAAGAUGGAAUGGCAACCUCCCCAAAGAAAGAUGGGAGUGAGCAACUAGGUUUUUUUAAAGCUUAGAUCAGGCAUCCCCAAACUCGGCCCUCCAGAAGUUUUGGGACUACAAUUCCCACCAUCCCUGACUAUUGGUCCUGUUAGCUAGGGAUGAUGGGAGUUGUAGUCUCAAAACAUCUGGAGGGCAGCGUUUGGGGAUGCCUGGCUUAGAUUCUUCCAGUCAGAACACUUGAGAUAUCUGCUAUUAUGUGUAAGUGAUAUAUUUCUUAAUAAUCAGCAGCAAGGUAUUUCAGUUAUGUGAAAGGAGAACCUCUUAACACUUACUCCUCACCCAAAGGUUCAAAGUAAGGAUGUGGCACCUUUGGAACAAAACUGGAACUUUAUUUACACUCAGUGAGGGUUGCAGCUUAGUGCAGGCAUAUGCAAACUCUGGCCCUCCAGAUGUUUGGGACUACAAUUCCCAUCAUCCCUAGCUAACAGGACCAGUGGUCAGGGAUGAUGGGAAUUGUAGUCCCAAACAUCUGGAGGGCCAGAGUUUGCAUAUGCCUGGCUUAGUGGUUACUCUGUUAAGGCACAACACUUCAAUUCAACCAAACACUCUUUACAAAGAUAGCUAAGAACUUUUUCAAAAUUCUACUUUAAAAUGGUCUCUGAAUAGUCAAAUUCAUCCUAGAAUAGCUAUUGGACUUACACUGCCAGUAAAACGCUGUGAGACCCUCCUAGGAUCAUUACCCUCCCCUCAGGGAAACAAUCUGGGUACUCCUGCCUAAAAAGGUAAAGGUAAAGGGACCCCUGACCAUUAGGUCCAGUCGUGACCGACUCUGGGGUUGCGGCGCUCAUCUUGCUUUAUUGGCCGAGGGAGCCGGCGUACAUGUGGCCAGCAUGACUAAGCCGCUUCUGGCGAACCAGAGCAGCACACGGAAACACAGUUUACCUUCCCGCCGGAGCGGUACCUAUUUAUCUACUUGCACUUUGGCGUGCUUUCGAACUGCUAGGUGGGCAGGAGCAGGGACAGAGCAACGGGAGCUCACCCCGCCGUGGGAAUUCGAACCGCCAACCUUCUGAUCGGCAAGUCCUAGGCUCUGUGGUUUAACCCACAGCGCCACCCGCAUCCCUGUCUAGCUAACCCCUAAUUCAGCCCUAGCCAGUCUUACUGCUCAGCCAGCAGUAGCCUUGCUCCGGAACAGAGUUUGGAUCUGGUGUACCUCACACCACCUUGUUUUACAUUAGUUUCUUGUAUACAAGACUGCUUCUUUCAAUAGUUUUGAUAGGACUUAAAUGAGGAGGUAAUUCAGAACUCUAUAGAGAAGAAACACAGUGAAUUGUGCCCAGAGGACUUUAGGAAGCCACAGUACAUAAUGAAUUAUUGGGUAAUUAUGCUUCUGAUGGACCAUCACUGGCACCAGUUGUAGCCUUUGAAUAGUCUUGGGUUUCACAUGCAAGACUUUGUAACAGUCAGUCCUUGAAUAUACAAAAGCACACAUGAGGGAUGCUAGAUCUGAAUCCAAAACAUCUAUGUGGGUCACCACUGCCACCAGACUUCCAUAUAUUUGUAUACCAUCUAUCUUUCCUCUUACAAAAUCACACAAGAAAGGAUAUCUGGAAAGAAACUGAUUUGCCUUGACCUGCGAUGCACGUUUCAUAGCUGAGCAGGAAUGUGAACCUGGGAUUCUGAUGAAGUCUAACAUUGUGGAAAGCUUUCAAACAGCUUUUAAACAGAGUGCUUUCGAACUGCUAGGUGGGCAGGAGCAGGGACCGAGCAACGGGAGCUCACUCAGUCACGGGGAUUCGAACUGCCGACCUUCUGAUCAGCAAGCCCUAGGCUCUGUGGUUUAGACCACAGCACCACCCGCAUCCCCUUUUAAUCAGAGCUAGAUAUGUGUAAACCCACUAAAGUAAAUGUCCUUUUGUGUGGCUAACUCCCUGGUGGUGACAACUGGCCACUACCUCUGCUGCUAUUAUCAUUUAGUAAGUGUUCAGACACUGAGUUGUAUGGUUAACUUGAUUUCAGUGAGUCUACUCUCAGUGCCACUAAAUCAGUUUUAACACAAAUUUACAAGUCAACCAGCUUAUUAUUAUUAUUUAUCUAAGUUGCUGUUCAAAUUUUCAGUCUGAUUAAUGACUGGAAAACGCACACAUAAAUUUUAACAAAAGUUUCUACAAUAAUUUACUACAAAAAGUUACUCCAAUAAAACUUAACAUUUUAAACACUUUAGGAUUAUGGGUUUGUUUCCCAAAUAUUAUACUUUUGAGGUUUUUUAAAGUAAUAUUUAGUAUUUCACUAUUCAAUAUUUAGUAACAGGUACUUGUACUUGCUGCUGUUAAAAUUCUGCAGAGAGCAUAAAACUUUUCUAUGUAUACUUUUAUCUUCAUUAAAGACAAACAUCUCUUUAAUUUUUUUUUAACUCACAAAAGAAGACUGAGAGGAAAAUACAGUGAUGGCUAACAUUUCAGGUGCCACCAGUGAAUUAUUUUUACAUAAACCUCAAUUGAGUUAAAUCAUUUGGCAGACUAUUCUUCUUGCAUGAUAGAGCAUGUGUUGAGUUAAAAGACAUUUUUACAAGGUCGUAUGGAAACGGGGCUAAUACGAUCACAAUUUUUCAGGUUCUGACCUUAUUGCUGUUGUGCACUGAGCCUACAAAUUGGACACUUGCAACCCUAUUACAUGAAAAUAAAUUGGAAAUGACAUUUUAUUCAAGCAGAUAUAUAUGUGCCUCUUGAUAUUCUGAGGAAAGGGCAUUUAACUUUUAUUUACUGCUCUAGUAAAAUGUAAUUAAAUAGCAGCUAUGUUGAUAUGUCAGGAUAGGCAAUGAUACAAUAGUCUCACUUACAUGUCUGGGGUUGGUUCAUCAUCUUGCAGCUGAGUGAAUCCUUCUUGAAGUCAGUCAAGAUCCAUCCUGUAAAGCAGUACGAAACAUAUCUACAUAUAUCUUGGAUUUUUGUUACGAGUAUAAUAAAACAGCUGAUACUUCAGGCUUAAAUAUAUUUGCUUGAAAGCAGUUCUUACAGAUUUUAAUGGAAUGCAUUUCAGGGGGAAAGGUGGAAGAGCAGCAGCAGCAGCAGCAACAACAACAGGGAAAAAUAUUCACUUCUGAUUCUAUCAAGAUAGAAUCAUAGGUAAAGGUAAAGGACCCCUGACCGUUAGGUCCAGUCAUGGACGACUCUGGGGUUGUGGCGCUCAUCUUGCUUUACUGGCCGAGGGAGCCGGCGUACAGCUUCCGGGUCAUGUGGCCAGCAUGACUAAGCCACUUCUGGCGAACCAGAACAGCGCACAUUUACCUUCCUGCCGGAGCGGUACCUAUUUAUCUACUUGCACUUUGUGCUUUCGAACUGCUAAGUUGGCAGGAGCUGGGACCGAGCAACAGGAGCUCACCCCAUUGUGGGGAUUUGAACCGCCGACCCAGAUGUGAUACAGGAGUCCAUGAACAGGCUCUACCUCCAUUUAUUUGAAAGAUCACAGCCAACACAGGGUUUUGGCUUUUUAAAAGCCCCUUUUCUCCACACCAUGCCAUUUCUGUGCAUUGCUUUUUAAUUUUUUUUAAAAAGGUAUAUUAAUUUUUUUAAACAACAACAAACCCAAGACAAAUUUCAGUGACAAUUACCCCUUUCAAACUGUUAUUUGCCCCAUGGGGCAAAUAGCAGCUUCGGUGUGCAUUUGAUUUCAAUUAGGAAAAUGUCACAUAGCAACAUAGGAAGUUGCCUUAUACCUGUUUAGACUAUUGGUCUAUCUAACUCAGUACUGUCCAUACUGAAUAGCAUUGCCUUUCCAGGAUUUCAGACAGGGUAUCUCCCAGACCUACCUGGAGAUGCUAGACCUGAGAACUUCUGUGCAACACAGAUGCUCUACUUUCCUAGUCCACCAACAGCGGGGUCUACUUGGGCUGCUUUGAUGUUUAAAAUAUACCUCGGAAAUCCUACUCAUGACUGUCCCACAUCACAGAUAGUUUGGCCAUUACACACCAGAGACCUGUUGUUCUCUCUUUCUCCUGACCUACCAGUCCCAAUGGGCAUUAGUCACCACUGGAUAUACCUAAAAUUUCUAUACCUGCCUACCACCUAAUUCUGUAUAAUGCGGUUGAUAGUCAAUGUGACAGGCCUUGAUAACAUAUCCCCUCUUCUUUUUGCCAUAACACAAAGUAACAAUUGAAAUUAGUGAUGUUACUGAAAUUCAUAUUUACCCUGUUCAGUAUACAAAUGUGUCACAAUGGUAAUUCUUGGCUUCAAUAGGAAGUAAGCACAAUUUCCUAAGGAAAUGUGUAAGAUGCCACCAUGUGAAUGCAUCAGCAUGAUGAUACAUCGUGUCCUCCCUAAAAGAGACCACGUGUUGCAGUCAGACCUGGAGGCUGACCUCCUGGUUGUGGAUGGGUCUAUUGGAUAACCACAACGCCCAAUUGGUAGGUCCCUCGUUGCUGGUUGUAAUCUGACCAAUGGGGUGCAGUCUAAAUGGUUCGAGGGACCUAUUUAAUCCCUUGCAUGUGACUCAGAGAUUCUCUUUCGGCUUGUGCAAAUGGAACACUCACUUGUGUUACCGUUUUCUGGCAAGAGAUUACACAGGGUAGCUUCCUUGCCUAACACACCCACCUGCUCCCUUCCUCACCAGCAAUCUAUAGUUAUCAUACUGGAGACAAAUAGCUUAAUAUUCAGGCCUCAGCUGUUCACUUUUCCCUCAGCUUUCUCUAGUUUUUGCCUCACAAGUCCUUCAUCAAUGAACUUUCUCAACUCCACACUAUUUCACCCAUCUGACAGUUAGCUGUCUUUUCUUCACUGACUGGAACAUCCAACCAAUCAGAGCCUGUUGCUUCCCAGACCAAUCAAAAUGGAUCCAAGUGAUCCAGUCCUUCUGUCUAUGAAUACAAACUGCUGUUCUUGCUCUCUCCCCCCACUUUCAAAGCUAUCACCAAACAGCUCCUGCAAAACAGACCUGUGACACAAUAGCAGCCCAAGGCCUCAGCUAUGACAGUUGACUGGGGCUGUGUCUAGCUAGCAACAUCUGGAGAGCAACUGGCUCCCCAUCACUGGUAUAAGGAGAACUAUUCCAGAGCCUCUGUUGCACACAGUCUGUAGGCAGAGCCAAUAUUGCUAGCCCGUCAUACUCUGCUCUUAUUCACAUCUGGCCCCUCUUGAAAGUUAGUUGUCAGCCAGAGAGCUAGACAAUCCAGUAAGCAAAAUACUUAGUUUGAAGUAUGCAGGAAUAUAUAGCAAACCACAGUGAAAAUGCAGUUACUCCAGAGUAAGUGGUGUGAUUAUUUUGAGUAUGGAAGUAAGCCACAAAUCACUCAAACAAGGAGUUUAGAAUUCCACUUAAAUGGGUGCAUAUUGGCCUGAUAGAUACAACUUAAUAUUGGUUUCUGUUUAAAAUGCCAGGCUUCAGGCUUUUUAAAUAAUAAUAAUAAUCAGAAGCUGGAGGACAAGUUGUCGUGAAGAAAAGGCAUUUUGCACAAGCUUUUAAAAGGCAGUCCAUUCAUUGUUUCUUACUUUCUGGGUCUGAGACCUGACAUUGAAAACAGGUUCAGAGACAGAGUCUUGGACAGCCUUGGCUCAGAUUAAACCUUUGAUCCAACAGACAUUUGCAAUGCAGUGUUAUACAUGCAUACUUAUAGUAAGUCCCACUGAGUCCAAGGUAAGUGGAUACAGGAUUACAGAGUUAUGCAGAAGGAAAUCAGGAUCUACCACUGUCAAUAUGGAGCUGUACAAAGUCAUAGCUCCCUGAAAAGUGUUUAGUCAGCUUGAAAUUUGUUGCAGUAAUACUUUAAAAAUGUUUAGACAUGCAUUGAAAACAUCUUGGGUGUACAGGCUCAAUAGAAGUUCAGGAACCUGAAUUCUAAGUGUUACCAAAUUUGCCUUAGCCUGUGAUCCAUAUGCAUGCUAUCAGCUUACCCAGCUCCUUAUUCUUGCUUAUAGCUAUUACUGAAAAGGGAGGAAUCAAAAUACCUUGUGGUGAGAAAAAUUGUCGUAUGAAUUCUGCCAGGAAAAUUAAGACCUGCAAUGGUGCAUCAUCCUCGCUAUGGGGAAGAUGGCAGGUCAGUGAGUUAGAGCACUUUUGCUUUCAUAAAUGGGGAGGUAGCCUUGUGAGGAUUUAUCACCUAAGCAGUUUUGGUCUUGGUUCAUGGUGAGCAAUGGAGAAACCUGCCACAGGCUUCCAUGAGAGGUGAUUGUUAAUGGAAGAGAUAACCAUGAGCUGAUAUUGCAGGUAUGUAGUAUGGAUAAGCAACAGGUUGUAGUCAACUAUGAUGCCUCUACUGAUGAAGACUUGGUGAAGGAUUUAGACAAUUGUGUGCAGAUUUGCGGACAAACAUACACCAAGGCAAAACUUGAUGAUAAACUGAGAUCGGGACAUGAUAUCCUUAUUACAAGAAUGUGUUAGUGUAAUGUUUGGUUGGGAUUUAUUUAUUUAUUUUUAAAAACCCAGCUUCUGGUCAUGUUCACGGAUCAACAUGUUCCCUCCCCCCCUUUUUUGUAAGCUCCUCUGGGUAGCUAUUUCAGAAGAACAGGCUAUAAAUACUAAACAACAAUAUCGUACCAGAGUCUGGAUGUGUGUACCAAAAUGACAAACUACAUUGAAAAAGGAUGGUGAUGCGGUUUGGAAGACAAAUUGGCUCCAGCUCCUGUUGCAAAAAAAACCCAUUUAAACCAAACCUAACACCAGGCAGACAAAUGCAAUCCAUAUGUGCUGACAGACUGCAGAAUUGUGGGAAAGUUGCCAGCUGCCUUUGGUCAGCCUCUAGGACUCAAGUUUGCAGGAUAUAUAAUGUGCAAGGCCGGACUACAACUGGGUAGCUCAGCCUCACAUGUGACGACCGUUGCUCUGGUAGUAGCUUAGCACACUUUUGCUGGUUUCUUUUGCUUUUCCACCCCUUCAGGAAAAGCAAUUGUGUUUUUACCUCAUCGAAGCCAGAUAUAUUCUGAUUUUUCCACACAGAAAUAGAGAGGAAGAUGUUUGCUACCAAGUUGUCACUCUAAUCUGUGAAGGGCUCCCAUUCUCCUCACAGCUUAAUUGCCCAAGGCAUGGCCCAGACUUCACUGAUGCCAGAGACAAAAGCUUCCCUGCUCUCGGUCUCUCUUUUACUUUUCCUACUGACAGACUGCAGCUUGAACUCACACUGUUUUAAAAAAUGUAGCCUAACACUGACAACUGUUGGGCCCCUGGGCACUUAAUUCCCAAAGUUCCAAGUGAAAAAUUAAAUAAGCACUUAGCUGGCAUCUAAAGGCCAACUUACCAACUUAUCAAACAGCAGAUAGUUAAUCAAACAAUACCAUAAAUGAAUUGAUAACAAUAAAGAAUUGAAAAAUCAAAACAACACUUGCAUUUUAAAUCAUUCCAUUUGAUGUGUUGUGUCUUGGAAACCCCUUUGGCACUAGAUUCCACUCAGCAAAGAGUUCUAAGCAGUCCGAAAUUCAUGAAAACUCACUUUUUUUGCAGUUUAUUGAAUAGGACUUCCAAAUGACCGGCCGAUUGCCGAGGGUCCUGCAACCAGUCAUCAAUACCUGACAUAUCUAAUGUUGGAGGGUUAUUCUGACCUUCACUUCAAAUAUAAAGAGGUUUGAGUUCCUCUGAAUGAUGGGCUUCUGAGAGAUGUUGAGAAGGUACAUCUUCUCCAUUAACCAUAGCUCUAUGGUGGGAAAGGCUGGACCUGCUGAGAGUCUUUCUGUCAUGCAGAUUUUAAAAGCACACAAUUCCAUUUCCUACCAGAAUCUGGAAAUUUCUCUUUCAUUCUCAUCCAAUUUAUAUUCCACUUUUUCUACUCCCUCGACUACCAAGGUUCUCUUCUUAAAAGGAAAUGGAAUGUUUUUCAAUGGUAGAGAGAUUAGAGGUGAACCUUAUUCUAAAACGAACAUUGCCCUGUUCUUUGGCUGCUGACAGGGUUGCUGUUCCAUGCUUCAGUCUAUCAGCACUUAUUCAUGCAACAAAUAUGUAGGUCCUAAGGUGUUACGUGCUUGGGAAAAUUUACCCUGAAAGGAAAAAGCUUCCUACAUUCUGCCGAGAAAUCAGGCCACCUAACAAAGCUAUUUUUAGUGUGCUUGUUUUCCUUAAAGCAGUACAUGUGGAAACACAUUGUAGUGACUUUUUUGUGCAUGACUUUGUUCAAAACAAUUGUCAGGCACCCUUUCAUUGAGGCGUUAGGUUUAGACAAAACCUUCCUCUAAGAAUAUGGCUGGUGUGCUGACAUGCUGACAUUUUGCACCUGACCCUUUUUAAAAAUGUACUAUUAUGUUUGUGACGAAACCAAAUCUUUCAUCCUUUGUAUGUAUUUGUAUAUAUGUGGCUUAAUGCAAUGGGGACCAUUUUUCUUUCAGAUCAAUACAUUGAAUGUCGAAUAAAUAUUCCAGCUGCCCCUGCUUUUUCUUUUCUUCCUCUAAUACAAUAUUAAAUAUAGCAUCAUACAAUUUGAAGGGGAAACUUAGGAUGAUAUUUCCUGAACUGCAUAAGAAUUCAUUAAAUUUAAAUUAUAUCUGACAGAUGUUCACAUCUAAUACCUCACUUACGAUCUAGUAGUUGCCUUACUAAAGCUUUUGACGGAAAGGUGAUGGGACCGCUUAAACAAUUUGCUUUUUCAGAAGUUCCUCAGGUGUUUUUACUUUGGGUGAAGGUCACACGCUAACAUAUAUAACUUCCGUAUUAAAAAGAACUUGUGGACAUCCAAUGAAGCUCAAUGUUGGAAGAUUUAGGACAGAUAAACAAAAGUAUUUUUUCAUACAGUGCAUAGCCAAACAAUGAAAUUUGCUUGCCCAGGAGGCAGUGAUGGCCACGAACUUGGAUGUCUUUCAAAGAGGAUUAAACAAAUUCAUGGAGGAGAAGCUUUUUGACACUGCUAACCAUGAUGGCUAUGUUCUACCUCCACAGUUGGAGGAAGUAAAGCUUCUGAAUACCAGAUGCUGGAAACCAUGAGAGGAGAGAGACCCAGUGUGGUGUAGUGGUUAAGAGCAGUAGUCUCGUAAUCUGGGGAACCAGGUUCGCGUCUCCGCUCCUCCACAUGCAGCUGCUGGGUGACCUUGGGCUAGUCACACUUCUUUGAAGUCUCUCAGCCCCACUCACCUCACAGAGUGUUUGUUGUGGGGGAGGAAGGGAAAGAAGAAUGUUAGCCGCUUUGAGACUCCUUAAAGGGAGUGAAAGGCGGGAUAUCAAAUCCAAACUCCUACUCCUACUCCUCUUCUUCUUCUCUUGUGUUCAUGUUCUGCUCCCUGGUUUCCCACAGGCAUCUGGGUGGCCACUGUGAGAACAGGAUGCUGGACUAGAUGGGCCAUUGUUCUGGUCAAGCAGGCUCUUCUUAUGUUCUUAUUUUUAACAUGGAAGUAAAAUAUGGACUACCCUUCAAAGAGAAAACUGAAGAGUACAAAAUGACUUGCUAAAUACUGGAGUCGAGCAAACACCUGGGAUGUCAAAAUGGUGGUGUGAAACCACUUCUGGUGGUCUACCAGCCCUCUACCAAAACUGGGUGCCUUUUCUCUCUCAGACUUGGUGCCAUUGCUAGAAGGUUUUUGAGGCACAGGAAACAGGAAGAAGCACUGCUGAGCUCGAAGAUCUUCUGGCAAUGGUGUCAUGCCAGAGGGAGAAGAGGCGCUUUUCCAAGGAGAGUUUUCCUGCCCCUUGCAUUGUGUGUUGGAUAUGUUUCAAUACCACAAAGUGACAAAACUGAUUCUGUUCUUAAAAUUGUGGUGCACAAUGUGAUUCCAAAGCUGUACUUUACCAUCCUAGAUGGAAUGAGACUUUGUUAAUGAUUUCCAUCAGCUCUCAGGUUAAAAUAUGAAUACAUCAGAUAUUAAAAAACUAAUUUACCUUAAAAAGCUCUAUACUUUAUUAACACAUCAUUGUGCAUAUUUGAAAGCUACAAGUAAGUGCUACAUAGAUAGAUAGAAUUCAUUUUCAUUGCCCAUUGAAUAUGAUGGAAAUGGAAUUUGAUAGGAGGUUGAUUGAUAUCUAAAAGUGUUUUGUUUUCAGUGACUGGCACUGCUGAGUUACAACCAUCUAUCAUCUAACAGGUAAUUAGCCAGAUUUCUCAUCAUGAGCCUUCAAUCCUGCUGUUUUAUUAUUGAAAUACCACAAAUCUGUAAGCAUCUGAAUACAGAUGGAUUUUCUUGUCAUGGACAAAGACAUCACUUUGCAACACAGCUCUAAUAUGUUUGAGUAUCAAUGAAUUCAAUGAACUGUAAAUUAAAAAUAUUAAUACAUAUACAAUACAAUAAAAUACAAUAAUAUUUCUGUUUAAGCACUCUGCACUCUGUGCCCAUCAAGGCCCAAGGGAAAUGCAUAUUAUGAAAGUUCUAAUAUUCCAAUUUUGCUGUUGGAAACAUGUGGAAAAUAAAUCUAACAUGCCAAUGGUUACAACUGGAGAUGAUCACCUCUUUCCAAUUUCUGCUUCAACUCUUGUGCCUUAUUCAUUGAAGAAUGCUAUGGACAUAGUGUAUCUUGAUUUCAGUAAGGCUUUUGAUAAAGUCCCCUGUGAUAUUUUUAUGGAGAAGCUGGUAGAAUAUGGGCUGGAUAAGGUAAAUGUUAAGUGGAUUUGUAGCUGGUUGACUGACCAAAUCCAAAGAGUUAUCACUAAUUGUUCCUCAUAUUGUGAAAAAAAGUGACAAGUGGGGUACCACAGGGUUCUGUCCUGGGCCCAUUGUUGUUCAACAUCUUUAUGAAUGACUUGAAUGAAGGAUCAUCUAGGGGGUCUUAGUAGACCACAAGCUUCACAUAAGUCAAUAGUGUGAUACAGCAGCUUCAUUGGAAGUUUUUAAGUGGAGGUUGUAUGGCCAUCUAUCACAGAUGCUUGAGUUGAGAUUCCUGCAUUGCAGGGAUUGGACUAGAUGACCCUCGUGGUCUCUUCCCUCUGUACAAUUCUACGGUUCUAUGAUUCUAUACAACCUUUGGGAUUUUUAAGAAAUUGAAACUGCUACCCAUAGCCAAAGGGUCAUUUUCUAUAAUUCUUUUGAAAAUGCUUCAUAGAUUCUCUAGAAUCUCUUCUAAAAACAUGGAACAUUUCCAGGAAAAUAUGGAUGUUAUGGGGGACGGGCAGGAAAAAUCAGACUUUACAACAUAACUAUUUGAGAGACAGACCCAUAAGUAGGAUCCAACAGGAAUCUUGAGUAUCUUUGGAGAGGUUUCAUGUACAACCCAUUCCAGCAGAACUUUUAUAGAUCACUGCUUGUGCCCAGAAUGCUGUUUUAGAACUCAUUCCAAGACUUCAGUUUAUGGUAACAGAAUGUAAUAUAUGCAUCUCUCUUCCUGUAUAAACAUACACUCUGCUCACUAGUGGAGUAAGCCCUUCUCAGAAUUUGAUUCAUAAUGUUAAAAGAGCAAGGCAUAUAUACAGGGAUUUCAGUAUUAUGGCCACAAUUUCCUUCUGUUCUUCCUUCCUUGCUUUUAGAGAACCAUGCAUGUUUGUUAUUUUUAUAUUAAUAUUUCUGUGGAUGUUUCAAGAUACUUGAUUUUAGUUAUUCUGCUACUGCUGACUGUUUGCCUAGAGUGUUUUACUCUUGUUUCAUGGUUUUCUGUUAUGGUCAUGUUCUGAUAUUCAGUCUUAUUCAAAACAUAUUGAAUUUACACAAAAGAUAAAUUUCUUACAUUCAUAGUAACAAAUUAAGAAAGUAAGAAAGAUUUCUUUGGCAUAUUAAUACAUCCUUAAUCCUGAGAGAGAGCUCAGUUUUUUAGAUAACAGCUUUUCCAGGACCUUUCUUUUAAGAAUUUAAAGAAACACAUGCAAAAGGCCAGGGCUACUUUCAAGAAACAUUUUCCUGGCCUCCAGUCCCUUUCUCUAUUUUUUUUUAAAGUGCUGAGUGGUGUGUGAUUUAUUUAUUUUUUUACUUUUUGCUUCAGGUGCAAAAAUGUUCAAGACCAACACCGCGUACAUAAACAAAUAAUUUAUUAAUUACUAAUGAAGGAUAUCAGAAAGAAAACAGAAACAAGCCUUUAAGAAAAUGAACUAGAUGAACAGCUUGCACAAUUAAAUAUUCCAAGUUUCAACUUUGCUCUCAAUGGGUACUUGACAAUGGAAAUUUUGUUGUUUUUAGUACAUCAGAGAUAAUGUUUGCAACAGGAUGCAACUGUGUGAACAAAUAUUUGCAAAAGAUUGUGUUAAUGUUCUUCUGCUUAUAGGCAAAUUGAAGUUAUCCAGCUGCAAGUCUAACUCAGGGCUUUGGUAUGCCAAUAAUGUGGGCAACUUCAAAAGGUCUAAAGGCCUUUUUUUUUUGCUGACUGCAUUUAAAAGAGCACACACAACAGGAAGUUUUAGAGAAUACUGCCCCCCCCAUCUUUUUAUAAAGUUGUAAGCCAAGCCAGGGCUAAACUCUCAAUGAAUCUUAAAUGUAUGGCAUUUCCUCAAAAAGUUCAGGGCUGAAUGUAUGGAACUUUCAGUGCUUUCAUGAUAUUGACUUGAAAGUGAUAAUUAAAAAGUGGGCCAUUAGUUUACAAAGUUUUUUGUAUAUAAUAAAAUUAUUUUACAAAUAAACUAUACCAAGACAGCAAAAGUCUAACACUUCCCAAAACAAAGGCAACAUCUUAAUACAUAAUCCUAAACAUGUUUACUCACAGGUAAGUCUUUUCUUCCAUAGGACUUAAUUCCUAGGAAAUGGGUUUUAGAUUUCAGUUUUAUAAUAAAAUACUGUGAAACUCACUGUGUUCAACAGAGUAUAUUCCCAGGUAAAUGCUUAGGCUUGUCAAUAAUAUAUUUUAGCAUGCAAUCCUAUACUCACCUAUCUGGAAGUAAGGCCCAGUGAAACUAAUGAGGCUUAUUUCUGAAGGGAAGCAUAGGAUUGCACUGUCAUAAUUUAAAUGACUGAGCAGUAAAUAUUAAUGAUUUUUUGUUGCUGUAUUGCAUUGCAUUUUAAUUGUGCAUCACUUUGAGUGGGUUUUUCUCCCUUCAAGGUGACAAAAAAUAAAUAACAAUUUCAAUAUACAAUAAAACAGAAAACUCUAAAAUAAGAAGCAACAUAAAUACAGAAAAAAAAUUCACCAAGUCUAAUUGCACACAGGAUGCAGGUGAAGGGAAAAAACCCUACUCUGGACCAAGGGACCCCAAAUUCUGCACUGAGUCUUCAAAAAUUACACGGAUGUUCAUUAAAUCACAUGUAUUUUGUUUUGUUUAAUGUUACAGUCCAUUCUUGCAAUCUUUAGCUCUUCUUAUUUUGGGAGGGAUAUUUUGACAAUGAUUGCUAUGGCAGCAAACUAGGGGAGACAAAGGUAGAAGAAGAAAGGUCUGUAUUUAUUGGGCUGUAUGGGCUCCAUUUUUAGAAACCAAGAGUGUACACUUGUUUCAUUUUUAGUGAAAGGGGUCUAGUCCCAAAGCAGCACGUUGUUGGUUCAAUAGUUACUAGAUCAGGACAAAGCAUUAUAGUUAUAUAAUUUCCCCUGAAAUGUGUUUUAACAAUCUCUGGAAGGCGCACGGGUCUUACUUCUAAUGUUUUACAUUAGGAAGCACUUAAUUUCUGCCUGUCCUGGUCUGCACAUGCUUUCACUUUUGCCCCCUUUUUGUUAGUUUGCUUUUGAUCUAACUUUAGAUUAGUAAUUUCCUAUUGGAAGGCAUCUUAUUUUUUUAUUAUUCUUGUCUGGAAAGUGCAAAUGGAAUAUUUCUCUUCUGGGUUGCCCCAGUCUUCUUGUCCUCCUAUUCACUCUUCAGCUGUGCUGAAUCUAAAGACCAACACACACCCAUGAGUGACCUGUUUCUUAUUGUUUGCUUAGUACUGAAAGAACACUGAGUAUGAAUAAUCAACAAAAGUAAGCCUGUACAGCUGUCAAGCACCCUGAUUCCAGCUUUCCAUGUGUGUGCCAAUGAAGGCUGUCUGGGAAUUUCUUCAUGAUGGCAGAUGCAUCAGAUCAGAGAGGUUUCAGGACAAAAGAACUAGGAAGGGGGCCAAACAUAUGAGCAACCUCAGCUCUGUUGGCCAACCAGUUUGCUGACUUAGUAGUUCCACUUCUAGUAGACUCUUAUAUUAUUGUAGGUAGUGUGGGGAAAUGUACAAAGGAAAUAUAAUGAUCUUAAUGGGUCCUUAAUCUAUCAGAAACAAAAGGUGGAGAGAUAAUGCUUGGCAUGCUCAAGCCUAUUCAAAGCAAUCAAUUCAAUCAUUUCUAAAUCUUUAUUAAGAUGUGGCUUCCACAUUUGUUUGUUUUUUUACAUUUGUAUACAGUGGUACCUUGGUUCUCAAAUGCCUUAGUUCCCAAACGCAGAAAACCUGGAAGUAAGUGUUCCGGUUUUCGAACAUUUUUCGAAAGCCAAAGAUCCAAUGCGUCUGUUGGCUAUUGUUUCCAGGGUGCCUGCACUAAUUAGAAGCUGCACCUUGAUUUUCAAACAUUUUGGAAGUCAAACGGACUUCUGGAAUGGAUUAAGCUUGGCACUUUUGUUUUUGCUAUCUAGUUUGUGUUUUUGUUUUUGAGGCUUUUUUUUGGUUACCAUAAUUUGGUUUUGUGACUGAGUAGAACCCAGUUCAGCUACUGAUUGAUUGAUUGUGUGACUGUGGAAAUGGAUAAAAGCCCCCUAUCCAAACAAUGACUAUCAUCAGUGCAGGUAAGAAAAUAAUUUAAUUUUCAUUUUUAUCAUCUACAAUACUGUCUUGUUUAUUUUAUAGUACAGUACAUUGAUUAUUGCUUUCAUUUUAUGGAUCAAUAGUCUCGUUAGAUAGUAAAAUUCAUGUUAAAUUGCAGUUUUAGGGAUUGUUUUUAAAAGACUGGAAAGGAUUAAUUUGCUCUGCAUUACUUUCUAUGGGAAAGCGCGCCUUGAUUUUGGAACACUUUGGUUUUGGAAUGGACUUUCAGAAUGGAUUAAGUUUGAGAACCAAGGUACCACUGUACUGCCCUUCAUCUGAACAUCAUAGGGUGGUUCACAACAUAAAAAUACAACAUAAAAACACAAAAUAUAGAAUAAAAAAAGCAAAACAAACCAAUAACCCCCUUCUCACACACACAUUUAAAAGUCCAUAGAAUAUUAAUCAGCCCAACACCUGGUUGAAGAUAAAUGUUUUUGCCUGGCACUGAAAUAUAUGCAAUGAAGGCGCCAGGCGAGCCUCCUUGGGGACAGCAUUCCACAAACAGGGAGCUACCACAGGAAAGGUCCAUUAUCGUGUUGCCACCCUCUGGACCACUUGUGGGAGAGGCCCUUGAAGAAGGGCCUCAGAUGAUGAUUGCAGGGUCUGGGGAGGUUCUUAUGGAAAGGCAUUCCUUGAGAUAGUGCAGUCCUGAGGCAUUUAAGGUUUUAUAAAUCAAAACCAGCACAUUGAAUUGGGCCUGGAAACUAAUGGGCAGCCAGUGCAGACAGGAUCAAUUUAAUAUGCUGAAACUGUCUUGUCCUGGUGAGACCUGGUUGCCAAAUUCUGCACAGCUGGAGUUUCUGAACUCUCUUCAGAGGCAGCCCUACAUAUAAUGAGUUGCAGUAAUCUAACUGAGAGGCUACCGGAGCACAGACAACAGAAGUUAGAGUAUCCCUGUCCAGAUAGGGGCACAGCUAGGCCACCAACCAAAGCUGAUGGAAGGCUCUUUGCAUCACUAAGGCUACCUGAACCUCAAGAGACAGCAAAGGGUCCAGAAGCACCCCCAAGCUACAUACUCACUCUUUCAGAGGAAGUGGAACCCCAUCAAGAGUAGGCAACCUCCCAUCCACGCGGUCAAGGGAACUGCCCACUAACAGUGCCUCUGGACUGAGCUUCAGCUAGUUGGCUCUCAUUCAGUCAAUUAUAAAAACAAGACAUCCGUAGCACACCUGCAGAUGUAAAGGAGAAGUGGAGCUGUGUGUCAUCGACAUAUUGCUGGCAACGUAUUCCAAACAUCUGGAUAACCCCACUCAGUGGUUUCAUGUAGAUGUUAAACAACAUAGCGGAUAAAACUGAACCCCAAGGAACUCCACAUUGAAGGCACCACAGGGCUGAAGAGCACUCCCCAAGCACCACCCUCUGGAAACGACCAUCCAAGUAGGACUGGAACCACUAAAGCAGGGCCACCAACCCCUAACUUGGACAGCCACUCCAGAAGGAUACCAUAGUUAAUGGUACUGAAAGCUGCUGAAAGGUUAAGGAGAAUUAACAGGGACACAUUUCCCCUGUCUCUCUUCCGACAGAGGUAAUCAUACAGGGCAGCCAAAGCAGUUUCCAUGCCCAAACCAGGCAUGAAACACAAUUGAAAUUGAUCUAGAAAAUCAGUUUCACUAAGGGAUGUUUUAUUUUCUGAAGCAUGUAACACUCCUGAGUUUUGGAGUUAGGUGGAAUGAAGGUGGGGUCUAGGAUCUAGGAGGUGUGGAAGGGGAGGAAAAAGAGAGAUUAAUUGUUUUAAAUUUAAGCUUCAUCUCAAAGGAGCCCAGAGUGUCAUAUAAACAAAUGACAAAAUAAGAUCUAAAAAAAUCUAAAACCCCCCAAUUCAGUUACAGGUGCAGACUAGGAAACGAAGAAAAGAGAGUUAUAUAUCAUUUGAUUUAUCUUGGAACCUCAAUGCUAUCCUUAGUCUCUGGCUCUUGCAGAUUACGCUUCUCUCCUACUUUCCCCUCUGGUCUUUUAUUAUUGAAUCAUUCUGUGCCCCCUAGAAUCUACCCCCACCAGCAGGCUGCCUGCAUUCUUUAUACUUGACCUUUGCAAUUACAUAAUUCACAUAACACUUUCACUCUAGGCAACCACCAGGAUGCUAAACAUUUCUUUCUCGGUACAGCAAGUUUAUGUUAUGUGAUGCUAUAUAAUCAAAUUCCUUUAUCAUAUGGGUUACUGUGCUUUGUUUUGUUUCAAAUAAUUGCAGCUUCAACCUGGUUCCUGAUAUUGCAUGUGCAGAUGCAAUUAAAGAUUUUAUAUUUAAAAACGAAAUGGAGCCUGUUUUUGAAUCUCAACAAAAAUCCUUGCUCACAGAAAACUAGCAAUGAAAGAUCAGGGAAAGAGCCUUCUCUUUCUGUGAAAAGCUUCACCAUGGGUUUCUCCUGAUUGUGAAUACAGUGGUACCUCGGGUUACAUAUGCUUCAGGUUACACACUCCACUAAGCCAGAAAUAGUGCUUCAGGUUAAGAACUUUGCUUCAGAAUAAGAACAGAAAUCGGGCUCCAGCGGCGCGGCGGCAGCAGGAGGCCCCAUUAGCUAAAGUGGUGCUUCAGGUUAAGAACAGUUUCAGGUUAAGAACGGACCUUCGGAACGAAUUAAGUACUUAACCUGAGGUACCACUGUACUGCAACGAAAAUAGAGAAUGCUUCAAGGUGAUAUGCUGGUCUCUUACCAGGAUCGCAGGAGACACAGCCCACUAGCAAGACAAAUGGUUGGGGGCUUUCUCCCUUAAAGGCUUUCACUAUUUAUACCAAAGCUAAACUAAGCGUACCGUUGCUGUUUAGCAGAGCGACUUUCUUAUGUAGGGACUGAGUCAUGCACAAUUAUUAUUUGUCCUGAAAGCCUCAUAUCAAGGAAGUUAGGUAAUGCAGGUCAAACACAGGGUGUCUUAACUAGCCCAGCAUGUAAUACUAUCUCUGUGUGGCAGGACAAGGAGUGCAAAUUGUAUUUUGAGCAAGCAUAUUUCUUCAAGGCUUUAAGGAGCCAUCUGACACUUUUGGAAAAAUGAACUCUAGGAUGAGGAGAGAAAAUAUCAGGCCAGUUUUAUAAAAUCCUUUAUUGAUUUCAGUGGUUCUGUGUAAAUGGCGAGUGAAUUAUCCCUAGUGAUGAUUUAUUGAAUAUCACCACAUUAACACAUAGAUAUCUUUAACAAGUAUACUGCUAGAGUAAUCAGUUCAAAAAAUUAAUAAUUGAGAAAGCAAGUGUUAUUAGACGCUAAGGAAGCAACUUGUUUUGCACAGAUUCCAUUAUUUUCAACAAAACUUCUGGAGGAGGCAGGAACCAUACGAUGACUACAGCAUUCUUCUUCCCCAUGAACAGGAGAAUAUUUCCAUGCCAUACUAUCAACUGCUCUUGAAGUAUGCUGUGACCAAUUAUAGAACCAUAUCCUUUAAUAUUUAUAGCAAACUUGAUAGCUAUUCUAAGUAGGAUCUUGUAUUCCUUAUACAUUCCAUGUCAACUAGUAUUUUAAAAAAAGGUAAAGGACCCCUGACAGUUAAGUUGAGUCGCAAACGACUCUGGGGUUGUGGUGAUCAUCUCGCUUUACUGGCUGAGGGUGCCAACAUUUGUCUGCAGACAGUUUUUCCGGGUCAUGUGGCCAGCAUGACUAAGCUGCUUCUGGCGAACCAGAGCAGCGCAUGGAAAUGCCGUUUACCUUCCCGCUGGAGCGGUACCUAUUUAUCUACUUGCACUUGACAUGCUUUUGAACUGCUAGGUUGGCAGGAGCAGGAACCGAGCAACGGGAGCUCACCCCGUCAUGGGGAUUCGAACCACCAACCUUUCGAUCGGCAAGCUCUAGGCUCAGUGGUUAAAUUUUCACUGCUCUCCCUUCCCUUCCAUUUUCUGGAAUGCCUAACAGAGCAAUCCAAAACCCCUGAUCCACCAUGCUGGAGGAGAGAAGAAGAAGGAGGGUCUGCCAGCAGGGGAGAAUUGCUGGUUGUGCGGGGAGGCCUGCUAUUGAGGAUGGCUGAAAGGAGUCUAUUUGAACAGUGGGCAGGCAGAAGCUACCACUAGCCUUAUCCCUGCAGUGGUAAUCAGCAGAACCCUCCCUCCCCUGUGGCAAAUGGAGCAUUUUCAGUGUAGGGAAAGGGCAAAAUUCGGCUAGCACAGAACUGCAGCUUAAAGAUGAUUAGAAGUGCCCAGAGCAACUAGAGGAAAACUAUUAAAAACUAAUUAAAACAGUAAAAAAAGUAAGUUUGAUUUCCCACUUGGUGUACAACUAUAGUGGGUCGUGAAGCCGAAUAAUACAAAUGCAUUUAAAUACACCUGUAUAAGCACCACUGGGCGCCUUCAUGUGCCCCAGCUGCAACAAAAUAUGUCUCUCCCAUAUCAGUCUCUACAGCCACAGCAGAAGGUUUAAAGGCACCCUCUUCCCUUGUCUUCUGAGACAGAUGGAUGCCAAUCAAAUUUUUAAAAAUGGAAGACUAAAUAAGUUUAUGACAUAAAUGUACAGCAAAGUAUAUAACAUAGUCCAUGAAAUAGAACAUCAUUCUCAGGAUAUAUGUAAACCUGGGGAUAACUUAUAUGAUCAGUUCAACUGGUAGAUUAACCAGGAAGGCAUAGAUGUGGCUGGCAGCAAUCUCCAUUAUUGCAAUACGGUGGUACCUCGCAAGACGAAUGCCUCGCAAGAUAAAAAACUCGCUAGACGAAAGGGUUUUUUGUUUUUUGAGCUGCUUCGCAAGACGGUUUUCCCUAUGGGCUUGCUUCGCAAGACGGAAACGUCUUGCAAGUUAGUUUCCUGUUUUCUUAACACCGGUAUUACAGUUGCGACUUGUCUUCGAGGAGCAACUCAUAGAACGCGGUGAGGUAGCCUUUUUUUGAGGUUUUUAAAGACUUUGGUGAUUUUUGAAGCUUUUCCAAAACUUUCCCAACACCGUGCUUCGCAAGACGAAAAAAAUCGCAAGACGACAAAACUCGCGGAACGAAUUAAUUUCGUCUUGCGAGGCACCACUGUACCUGGAAAAAGAAUGAAUCAUUCACCAGGAGUUGCUACCAGGAGUACUUCUUGCCCACCUUUGCUCAUAUAGAGAAAAAACAUGGUUGAGUCCCUUGGGUGAACAAUAUGGUAUGGAUCUAUCAAUUGUCUAUGUUUUGAAUAGUUUUUGAGAGUAUUUGGUAGAGCCACAGUGGAAACAGGAAGCUGGCUGAGAAGGAGAAUGAUGAGCCUUGUUCUAGUCUCCAAGAUCUAAAGUAAAAAUAAAAAUUAAGCUUCCAUUGGCAGAAAAUAUGAAGGGCAAUAAAUGCAGCUUGACAUGAAAUAUUGGCAGAGAAACUAUUAUUCAUGGCCUAUUUGUUAGCAGUAAAAUAUAUGAGGGAAAUUUGGAACUAAAUAACCAGUGACAGAUCUUGUGAGUUUGUGGAAAGUGUAUCGCCUUCUCUGUUCACACUACAGAAAGGGACAGGUUUAUCAUAGAAGAAUGGAAAUGUGGCUUGGAACAGGAAGGCAAGUUGGAAACCAAGAACUGAUUCACAUAAGGCUUUGGGUUUUACCACAUCAGGAGUUACUUGUGAAUUUGCAUAGUCCAUAAAGUGCAAUGAGUUACAAAAGAGUAGCACAUGAAUAUUACCUGCUGUCAGAUAAAUAUAUUAUGGGAGUAAUUGUAAUACACAAACAUGAUCAUGGGUGAGGUUUCAUUUCAUUUUUAAUUUGUAUACCACCUUUCUAUAUCACUGUACUCAGGGAAGCUUACAACCCAAUGAUCUGACAAAAAUAAUUAUACAACAAAUAUCACAUUGUGAUCCUAGAUCAAUUGAAAAUAUAAUUUUAAAAUUCAGGAAUCCGUUUCACAUAUAGACAAGACAAUAUCAACAAAAUAUUAGCAAGGAAACAAAAUAGCCCCCAUCAGCUCCAACAAAUUAAAUAGUUACAAACAACAUAAUCAAAAAGGCAAAAACAAAAUGGCAGAGCCCAUGAAGAAAGAACAACUGAGCACCUAGAUCGCAUCUCUCCUUCCCUGUCCUGCGGAACUCACACACCAAACAGAACAGCAAUACCACCCAGACCAGAACUCAGCACCAUCUACUCCAUAGAUUCCAGAUCAAGAUGGUUUUAAAUUGGCACUGCAGAUCUUGGUGCUGUAGCUGAACUUUCCCAGUCUCUUACCACAGUGAAAACAUUUUAGUUUGUGUGUUAUGGAUUGUAUAUUUGUGGACAUUUGUAUGUUGUCUCCAUAUUUUGCUCUUACGUUUACUGUGACCAAACAUAUUGGUGUAUAUGCUUUGAGUUUUUAUGGCUAAUUUACUUAUUUUUCUUUGAUAUGGAAAUCCUUAACAAACAACUCUAUAACCUCUUUCUCAAGUAACUCUCAAAUGAAUAAAUAUCUGCAGAGUGGGAAGGGUGAAGCAUGAAAACUCAGCCUUCAGCCCCCAGGUAUUUCCACUUCUGCUCUCCCUCUGAUCCAGGUUACAUACGCUUCAGGUUACAUACGCUUCAGGUUACAGACUCCACUAACCCAGAAAUAGUGCUUCAGGUUAAGAACUUUGCUUCAGGAUGAGAACAGAAAUCGUGCUCCAGCGGUGCAGUGGCAGCAGGAGGCCCCAUUAGCUAAAGUGGUGCUUCAGGUUAAGAGCAGUUUCAGGUUAAGAACGCACCUCCAGAACGAAUUAAGUACUUAACCCGAGGUACCACUGUAUAUUGCAUGAUGUUUUUCUAUGUAUGCAGAUGCGUUGCCUAACCAUGCAUGAGCAUAACCUGCAAAAUAUAAUGUGCCAUUGGCUCUCAGUCUCCCAACAAACUAACACCUUAUUUGCCGGACCUGCACUGGCUGCCAAUCAGCUACCAGGCCAAAUUCAAGGUGUUGGUAAUAGCAUAUAAGCUCAGGCUCAGGUUACUUGAUACACCAUAUUGUUCCAUAUAUUGCCAGUAGCUCACAGUGGUUUAUGGGAGAGUUUCUCCUGAAGGUUCCAAAGAGCUCAGAAGGCCUCUCUGCAGUGAAAGCAGAGUGACCUCUGUUCUGUGCAAUAGGAUUCCUAUUAAGAUAUGACAGGCACCCACUACCUGCACUUUCAUAGAAUCCUAGAAUUUGUAGAAUUGGAAGGGACCACAAGGGUCAUCUAGUCCAACCCCCUGCAAUACAGGAAUCUUUUGCCCAAUGUGGGGCUCAAACCCACAACCCUGUUCCCAGAACAAUUGAACACAUGCAAAGCAGGUAAAACUUUCGUUAUCCUCUUCUGCUUUGCUUUGCCACUGCUCCCUCCUGAAGGGAGAAGAGAGAUGGACCCACUCACCACUGAUUUGUAACAGCUGUCCUUGACAACAGACUUCUGGGUGGGGAGGUUAAAUGGGAAAAUUAGUUGGUUCAAUGCAAAUGAUUUCUGGAUUAGGGCAAGGCUGAAGUUUUGUUUAUUUGCUACUGAGUGGGUCAGCGUAUUGCUUUGUUUAUUGUUUGCUACUAUUUAUACGGUUGAUAUGUCCCCCCAUGGAUAUUAUGUUACAUGAAAUAUUAAGGUAUUAUAUGAUCCCCCCGGUAUUAUGUAUUGUAUAUUUUUCUUUGCUGUAAAUUGCUUGGAGACCUUUGGGUGGCAAGCGACUAAUAAGUUUAAAUAAAUAUUUGUUGUUAUUGUUCAAACCAGCUCCCAGCUGAAUUAAGAGGUCUCUACCAUGGUUGCUUUUAAAACUGUUUCUUAGCUUUUUACCUUAUAUUUUCAAUAUCGCCUUGAGACAUAUAUGUGCAAGGCAAUUAAUGAAUAACAGUAGCAAUAGUACAAUUCUAUUUUUCAUGUUUGGAAAUGUUUUAAACUGUUUUUCAAAUGUUUAUUUUAUUUUUAAUUCAUAUGGGUCGUCCCCCUCCCCCCCGAUAUGCUUGCCACCCUGGCCUCCUUUGAAAGGAAUGGUAGAACAUAAAAUUAAGAGAGAAACUCUAUACAGGUCUGCACAGAAUAAGGCCCAUUGUUUUAAAGGGGUCUUACUCCCAGGUAAAUAGGUAUAUCAUUACAUCGUAACAGCACAAACCUGCCUAUGAAUAUUUGGAAGUAAGUGUGUUUAGAACUGCAGCUGGAGACUUCCACUCAGAACUGGGGUUUUAGCUUCUUUGUGAAUUUUCACUUUCUGCAGAGAACAUUUUCUGCCUAGUUUCUAGACCGAAGCCCAAGGAAGAUAAUUAAGGCAUUCAUACUUUGGAAUAGAGUAAUACAGGAAAGGGGUAAAAAUCAAUCAAUCAAUGGUAUGUCAAUAGAGUAAAAUUCUUAGAUGGUGAAUGACUCUAUAAACAUAAUUCAACAUUCAAAAAAUAAAUCUUUCCAAAGGAACUUACUGUUGCCGUUCAUGGCUACAGCUUUAAGGAAAUGUGAAACAGUGACAUGUGGCACUGAAGAUUUCCUACUACAUUUAACAGCAAUGCAUGUGUGUGUUAUAUGACAUCCUUUCAUAAAUCCUAAAUUUACACAGUAUGCUAAUGCUUGAUUCCAUAAUUUCUUUUUAGAGUGAUUAUACCCUGCUGCUAUGAGCAAAGGCAUACUAAAAUCAGUUUUCUAUGCUUUUCCAACAAUGAAAUGGAAGCCAGCACACCACAUAACCAAUACUUACCAUAUGUUAGAAGAUAAUCCAGUAGGCUUCAGUCGCUGAUAUGAUUUGCUUAAAUAAAAAUCCCCCAUUUUUAAAGCAGUAACAACAUUCUACAUUUUUUAUAUAUAUUAUUCCUCCAGCAAGCUGCUAGAGAAAUGCUACUAUUAGACAGAAAAAUGAUUUCCCACCCUGUACUGGUUUAUUUUUAUUGCACUUGCUAUGACAUAAUUCUAGCUAAGAUGUUAGGAGUGGAAAUGAGCAUUUAAACCAUUCAUUGAAAUUAAUAAAAACUCACACAUUUUAUUCACCACAACAAAAUACAUGACACAAAACAGCCACAAGAUUGACCUGGUAUAUUGCAAGUCAUGUAAAGCAAUUAAGCAGAGUGUGAUCUUUAUGCAGUUAAAAAUUAUAAAGAAUUGCGUAUUUCAUGGUAAGGAAAUGAACAUGUGUGAUACAUUGUCCAUAGCGUUGCCAAUUCAUUAUUAUACACAUUGCACACUCAAGUUAGUCGGGUUCUGACAUGGAGCCCAUCUAAGUUCAUCAGAUGCUCCCAGUUUGUGCAUCCAAUGAACUCAUUUUGCUGGAUGCUAAAAAUGUUUUUAUUUUUAUAAGCAUUCAAGGGUGAAGAUGACAGAAAGAUAGAUGGAUAGAUAGACUGAACCUUGUGCUGAGUAGCAUAUCAAAUGACUGAGUGAAUGCAAGUGUGUGUAUGUCUCAUUUACUCAAAACGUAUGGUCAUUUCAUAAUUUGCAUCACCUUCCCAUUUAUUGCCCAUCAGUUGUUAUUGUCCUUGAUUUCUUUAUGCACGAGGAAUUAUAUUAACAAAUUGUUGGGGCAUGUGACCCAGAAAAUGUCACACCACGUGACUUAUAGUGCAAUUCCUUCCAAGUUCACUCAAAAGUAAGUCCCACCGUGUUCUGUGGGGCUUACCCUGGGGCAGUACUAAUGCAGCUUAAAAUUAGUAAUGCAGAUCACAAACUCCUGAUCCAUGUGUUGGUGCUUCUUCAGGGUGAUAGACAGCUCAUGAGUAGGUCUAUGCCAUCUGUACCUAUAUCAUCAUGUCAAAGACUAAAUUCUGGCAGACCUCUGUGCUAACCUUUACAAGAGUUAUAUGCAGCUGGGACUGAACACUGUUUGGGAAAACUCCUAGUGCUGGAAGCUUGCCAAAUACUCCUAUUAUAUUCAACAAUAUCAUUCAAUAGACUACCAACGGCCCAAAUCAGUAACUCAAAUUUUAGCUGUUUUAUCAAACAGAAUAAUUUGAUUAUGUAGCUAUAGUAUCAUAGAACACAGCUCAAGAAACUUCAAUGCUUGUUUAGUUUAUACAGAAUGUUUUUCCCCCUACUUUUUUUGAAUACAGGGGAGGAGAGUGUAAAACAUAGAAUAAUAUAUUAAAUAUGAAGUGCAAACCAAAAGGUUACAUUAGGCAUGCUCAAGGGCUUUGCAUGCCAGAAGACUUCUCACAUCCCCGCCCCCCGGGACAUCAGAAACCCUUCCUCGCACCACCACAUUGUAUACCACAAAACUGCUUUUGAAACUACUAUGGUCUACUGGGUAACAUUGGCAUACUGAAAUAAAUAAAAAAUCCACAUGCUUCUAGGAAGUCAAAUAUGAACUACAUGGAUUGCAUCCUUUGUGUCCUGCAUCAACAUUGGGUAUUUUGAGAAUAUAAGAAGAACCAUGGAAUUGUAGACUUGAAAGGGAUCACAAGGUCCAUCUAGUUCAACCCCUUGCAAUGCAGGAAUCUUUUUGUUCAGUGUGGGGAUUAAACCCACAACCCUGAGAUCAAGAAAUGGCAUGAAGUCCCAUCUAGUCUAGCAUCCUGUUCUCAUAUUGGCCAACCAGAUCUCCAUGAGAUGACCCACAGCAGGAAAUGAGCACAACGGUACUUUCUCCACCUGAAAUUCCAAGCAACUGGAAUUCAAAGGCAUGCUGUCUCGGACAGAGGAGGUAGAACAAGCAAAACAAGUAUGGUUAGGAGCCACCGACAAAUACAAACCUCCAUGUAUUUGUCUAAUCUUCUUUUAAAGCUACCAAGUUGGUGGUCCUCACUACCAGCUGUGGCACCAAAUUCUACAGUUUAAUUAUGUGUUAUGUGAAGAAAUACUUUAUUUUGUAUGUCCUGAAUCUUGUUUAUGAACAACUUGGAUUAAGAACGUUGCAAACCCGGACAUAGGUGUUUUGGUUUGUGAACUUUGCCUUGGAAGCAGAACAUGUUCCGCUUCCUGUUGAGUGUGUUCCAUUUGUAAAUUGAGUCCCCUGCUGCUAUGGGAAAGCACGCCUUGGUUUAAGAAUGCUUUGGUUUAAGAAUGGACUUCUGGAAUGGAUUUAGUUUGUAAACCAAGGUACCACUGUACCCCUAUCAGGUCCUCUUUACUCUCCUUUUUUCUAAACUAAAAAAACCGCAAAUGUUGUAACCUUUUCUGCAAAGGGUUGUUGCUCCAAACUCUUGAUCAUUUUGGUUGCCCUUUUCAAACUUCACAGUGACAUUUUUGUGGUGAGGUGUUGAGAACUGUAUACGGUAUUCCAAGAGCUGUCCCACCAAAGAUUUACAUAACAGCAUUACAAUAUUCACAGUUUUAUUUUCAGUUCCUUUCCUAAUGUUUCCUAGCACGGAAUUUGCUUCUUUCACAGCCUGCCACAUGCUGGGUCAACAUCUUCAUCAAGCCAUUCACUGCAACCCAAGGUCUUGUUUUUGGUCAGUCACCACCAUUUCAGACCACAUGAGUGUCUAUGUGAAAUUUAGAUUUCUUGCCCCAACAUGCAUCACUUUAUACUUGUUUACACUGAGUUUCAUUUGCCAUUUUACUGCACAUUCACUCAUUUUGCCGAGUUCAGAUCUUUUUUGUUUUGUUUUAACCGUUCUGAACAAUGUGGCACCAUCCCCAAACUUGGAUACCUCACUGUUCACCCCUCACUCUGGAUCAUUUAUGAUUUAGUUAAAAAACACAGGUUCCAAUACCAGUCCUUGAAGCACUCCACUUUCUACAACCUUCUGUUGGGAGAAUUGCCCGUUUAUUGCUGCUCUCUGGUUCCUGCUUCUUAACCAGCUAAUGGUUCACAAAAGGAUUUCUUCCAUGGCUGCUAAGUUUACUCAGGAGUCUUUGGUGAGCUAUUUUGUCUGACUAGCAGGCAGAAGUCAAAUUUGACAGGGCGACCGCAGCAGGAGUGAACACAGUCCUCCCACCCAUCAGAUGAUACCAACUGUUUGACAGGUGGGUGCGGUUUGGGGAAAGUUGGCCUUGUACCUUGGUGCGCCCAAAAAAUUCAGGGAAAUCACAUAUUUCACCUAUUGAAAUAUGUGAAGUGGAAUUGCAUUGCUAUAUUUGCACUUUGUAUAAAAAAUUACCAUCAUAUUUGUUAUGCUGCUCAACCUAUGACAAAAUAAGGGCAAAUUUCCUAUAAAUGGAAGCAAAGACACUUUAAAGUUGUCUUGGAUACUUUUAUGAAGAAGCCUAGAAAGAUGAUAGAGAUGCAGUUGACCUCUCCAAGGCACAGGAGGCACCUAUGCAGGUAAUAUGACCUCAUUUUAGCAUACUAGGGGGGACCAGGGCUGGAUUUAGGUUUGAUGAGGCCCUAAGCUACUGAAGAUAAUGGGGCCCUUUAUAUGUCCAGCUGUCCUUUGUCAACAACAAAUUGUCGCUGUUUUUGUUGUUGAAUAUAUGCUAUAUGGUAAAUUAUGGACCUCAUAGGUAUCUAAAGCCAUUUGCACAUAAUAAAAAUAGGUAUUUUAUCAAAGUAAUUGUUGAACUGAAAUACAAUUAAGAAGUAUAUUGAUAGUGAAAUACAAUUAAGAAGAAGUAUGGUAUAGUAAUACAGUGGUACCUCAGGUUACAUACGCUUCAGGUUACAUACUCUUCAGGUUACAGACUCCUCUAACCCAGAAAUAGUAUCUCAGGUUAAGAACUUUGCUUCAGGGUGAGAACAGAAAUCAUGCUCUGGCAGUGCGGCGGCAGCAGGAGGCCCCAUUAGCUAAAGUGGUGCUUCAGGUUAAGAACAGUUUCAGGUUAAGUACGGACCUCCGGAAUGAAUUAAGUACUUAACCCGAGGUACCACUGUUGUGAAAUACAAUUAAGAAGAAAUAUAUUAAUAGUGAAAUAAUUAUUAAGCUCCAACCUACUGCAUGUAGGUUUUAUUUUAUUUGUUUAUCUUAUAUUUUGGAAAUGUACAUUCAUUUUUCCCCCUUAAAAUUUUUCGGAGGCCCCCAAGAGUGUGGGGCCCUAAGCUAUAGCAUUUUUAGUUCAUACAUAAAUCCAGCACAGGAGGUGGGAACCACCGUGAACCAACCAAAACCAAGAAUUUCACUAUGAUUACUCCAACUCCCAUCAACUCCAGCCAGUAUGGCCAAUAUUCCAGAGAAAUGGGAGUUGUAGUCUGAAAAUCUGAAGCCACCCAUUCUUCAGCCUUACCAUACAGAACCAUGUCUCACUAGAAACAGUUCAACAGUUAUUAUCUAACCUCUGUCAUAAAAAUAUUAUUAAAGUGUCCAGAAGGAUUCUUCAAUUGUUCAGGAGACUGUAUAUUUGAACACAGGGAUCUUUUACAUGAGGCACUCCAUUCAUUUUAAUGUAGUACAUGUGCAAAGAAAUGGUUAUGUACAUCUUCACUCAAACAAAUGGGUUGGGGUUCACACUGGAUUUCGCAUGACCAUAAACACAGUGAACAUAGCAAGCAUAAAUCACUACUGAGUUCCAUAUCUUGAAAUAUAAAUGGAGGUACAAUACAGAGUAGACCAUUUUCCACCCUAAAUGUAAAUGUUAAGAGGUAAAUUGUCUGGCCAACUUUAGCAACUUCCUUUUUACAGGCAUGCUGAGGAUAUAAUUUAAAAUUGCAAAUACAUUUGUGACAUAUAAAUGUCACAAAAUUACAUAUCAUCUAGAUGUCAGAGAGUGGGAGGACUAAUGACUUCCUAAAGAGAAUCCAAGCAAAAUAUAUUAAAAGAGGGAGAAAAUUAAAUACAAAACAUAUGAAAUGUGGUACACAUUUGAUGUCAUAAUCACAAUAUUUAAAGAACAUAAAUCCAGAUUUAUGACCAUUACUUCAGUGCAGGAAAUAAAUAUGUAUUCUGUUAAAAAUAGAUUGAAAUGUGACCCUGUGUCAUUAAUAGUCUGCAUUGUUUCAUUUUUUGGUGAAAAUGUGGGGCAAAAGGGUUCAAAAGCAGGGUUCAGCUGAAGCUGUUUAGCUACACAUAUUCAGGGCCUGCCCUACCAUUAGACAGAGUGAGCCAACCCCCUCAGGCCAGCGUUUAGGGGCAGCAGCAGCAGCAGCAGCAGCAGCCCCUGGCUAAUCCUCCUGAGCUCUUAGUCAUUCCCAUCUGCUUCCACGUGUGUCCUGCUGCUCUGGGUGUAUGGAAGUAUUGAAAGAGUACUGAGUACUGAAGAGUCUCGGUGGCGAGAGUCUUAAUAGCACAAGGAUGGAAGAAUGAGGAAACCCCGACUAAAGAACUAUGGCAAGAGAAACUGAUGGACUAUGCAGAAUUGGCAAAAUUGACACAUAAACUAUGGGACAAGGAUAACUGUGACUUUAAAGAUGAAUGGGAACCUUUUACAAAGUACUUAAAGAAGCAACAAAGUGAACUGGACUCCUUUGCAGGCUUUGAAUAAACACUCACCUUACCUUUUAUUGACAAUAACCAGUCAGAUAAAUUAAGGAUUUGUACAAUUUUGUAACAUGCAGAGAAUAGCAUCUGUAGAGAAACCAGAGAUUGGAGCAGAGAGAAGUCAGGGGGGGAGGGGAGGGGGGUCGUUUUAUGGGUGGGGGGGGAAUGGGGGGGAAUUAAGGAUGAUAUGUUUUAAGAUAAUAAGUUUGGUUCAAAUUCCUAAUAAAAAAAAUUAUUUUUUAAAAAAAGAACUUUGCUUUAGGAUGAGAACAGAAAUCGUGCUCUGGCGGCGCAGCAACAGCAGGAGGCCCCAUUAGCUAAAGUGGUGCUUCAGGUUAAGAACAGUUUCAGGUUAAGAAUGGACCUCCAGAACGAAUUAAGUUCUUAACCUGAGGUACCACUGUAUGUAAAUGAUAAAGUAAGCCCCAAGCACCCGCCCUCUCUCAUAAUAAUAAUACAGGAAGAAAAUAAUUUACUAUGUAACCUUCAUUUAUUCUUUAUAUUACUUGAGGUCCUUAAAAAACUUAAUAAAGUAUUGAAGAGACAAUCUUGUCAUCUAAGAAACUGAAAUACACUGUGCUGUGUUGUCUACACUUGAUUUGACAUGUCUCGAACACAUGAUUGCCAUUGUUGCACUUAAACGGCGGCAGUCGGUGGGUGUUCUAAUCAUUACUGGAUAGUUUAUUUUUCACAUUGCUGCUCUACUGCUCCCUUCACUAGGAAAUCAUAUAGCUAAAUGGAUCAGUUAAGAUUAAAUUAGUCAACAUAAUGGUAAUCAAAAAAUUGUUCUGACCUUUGGCAGAAAAACAACAAUGUGCGACCUUGAAGCUUUAAGAGGAAAGAAGCUCGGGAAACCUUUCCAGAUUACAAAACAACAACAACAACAAAAGGAUGGCAGCUCUUUAUGAGGAAAGGAAGCCAAACACCCAGUAAUGUAAAAAUCUUACAUUAAGAAAAUAAUGUAAAGCGAAUAACUACAAUAGGCAUAUCUACCGUUCGACAUUUUUAGGCUUAUAUACUAUUUAAAAAGGCAACGUAAUUAGGACUUAUUAGAAGUAGCUAAUGUUCCUUGAGUUUUAAAUAGUCAAAGAACAAUGCAUUUAUCUGCCUUUCUUUUCAAACCAGAUCAAAAUGCUACACUUGACUGUAUUAUAACAUUUGUGGAAAGGAAGAAGUGUUAGCAUAAGAUCCAAAGCUCAACAGGGCUGUGAUCUGUACUUGCAGUUCAAGGCAUGCAGGUACCACCUAUAAAAUGCCCUGCUUGCACAGUGGCAAAACUCUCCACUAAGUCUCAGUUCUAGUGAUGUAUGGAAGUGAGAGCUGGACCAUAAAGAAGGCUGAUCACUGAAGAAUUGAUGCUUUUGAAUUAUGGUGCUGGAGGAGACCCUUGAGAGUCCCAUGGGCUGCAAGAAGAUUCAGCCUGGACACUGAGAUCCAGCACCGAGGGCCUUCUGGCGGUUCCCUUAUUGCGAGAAGUGAGGUUACAGGGAACCAGACAGAGGGCCUUCUUGGUAGUGGCACCCACCCUGUGGAACACCCUCCCUUCAGAUGUGAAGGAAAUAAGCAGCUAUCCCAUCUUUAAGAUACAUCUGAAGGCAGCCCUGUUCAGGGAAGUUUUUAAUAUUUAAUGCUGUACUGUUUUUAACACUUGAUUGGGAGCCGCCCAGAGUGGCUGGGGAAACUCAGCCAGAUGGGCGGGGUAUAAAUAAUAAAUAAAUUAUUAUUAUUAUUAUUAUUAUUAUUAUUAUUAUUAUUAUUAUUAACCGAUCCAUUCUUAAGGAAAUCAGCCCUGAGUGCUCACUGGAAGGACAGAUCCUGAAGCUGAGGCUCCAAUACUUUGGCCACCUCAUGAGAAGAGAAGACUCCCUGGAAAAGACCCUGAUGUUGGGAAAGAUGGAGGGCACAAGGAGAAGGGGACGACAGAGGACGAGAUGGUUGGACAGUGUUCUCGAAGCUACCAGCAUGAGUUUGACCAAACUGCGGGAGGCAGUGGAAGACAGGAGUGCCUGGCGUGCUCUGGUCCAUGGGGUCACGAAGAGUCGGACACGACUAAACGACUAAACAACAACAACACGAAUUCUCAGUUCAUACCAGAGAAGUCAGCCACACUGAUCAAGAGCUCUACAUGCAGUCCAAGAUGCACGUGAAAUCUCUAUGUGUUACUUGCCCACAUUCACUACAAGAAAAGCCGCAGGUCUGGACCAACAAGGAAUGCAAUUGCAUGCACUGAAAUCAGCAGAGAAGCCUAUGCAAGAGAACUCUGUGUGCACAUAAAAUUCUCCACACUUAAGAGGUUGCUGGGUUUGAGCUAUAGCUACUGUCACAUACACACACAAACUAUUCAGUCACGGCAAGCAUUUUAUGGACUGCAAUAUUUGGCAUACACCUGAAAGUAAAAUCAGACCGACUCUCUGAAACGAAUGGACUUUCAUGUCCUUCCAUAGUUACAAACUUGUUUAAAAACAGAAAUAUUUGUUUUCAUUGACAAAUAUAUCAGUUCCUUUCAUAUCAUGCAGACCUAUGGAAUUUUUGCUCAAGGUUUCUCUUCUUCAUCCACUUAAUAAUAUUGAAACAAAAACAACUGCACCUAACUUAUUAAUAAUCACGUUGCCAAAUUAGUUGACACCAAGAAAUACAUCACAAAAGACCAUGAUAAUGAUGGUAUUUUGGUAAGAAUGCUUAUUCUUCAGACUGUGCUAGAACAGACUGCCCUGCAAAGAUGGGACACUGUAGAUUAAUCUAAAAGCCUUAUUUUUGUCUUUUCAUCAGGGUCAGUUGUUUUGAUAGGAUGCUCUCUUCAGCUUUCCUCCCCUCUAUCAACAACACUAUGUUUAUAGUUAAAAUAGCUGUAGGAAGAAGUAAUGUCAAAAAUGUCCACAAUGAUCUUUAAGGUCAUUGUAAUUUCAACAAAUCUGCUAUUGAACUGGAGGGAAUCUUAAGGUUUAAUGAAGGAUUAAAGUCUUUUUGACUUAAGAAAAGGAAUCAGUUUAUUUGCAGGGGCAUUUUCGCCGCACAUCACUUUUCCAGCUCUUUCUGGAAUUUGCUUUCACAUAAGUCAGCGAAAAGAACCGAAAUGGAGUUCAGAAAAAUAGGGCCGUUAUAUUGCCUUUCAUUUGGAUAUAUUGGUGUUAAUGUAUAACCAUAGAGAUUGUGCAUGACUUUUACUAAUUAGAUCACCUCAACUAUUCAUCUGACAAUGUUUGAGUUUAUAUUUGACUCUGCAGAUAUAAUAGCAUUGAAGUAUAUUUCCCCCUAUCACUUUCCUAGCCUCAUUUUGUGCUACAACUGCUACUAAGAAAGCUCUCUCCCUAGCCCAGCCAUUAGGCAGAGUGAGACAGCUGCCACAGAAGCUAGGGGACAGGGAAUGGUGGCAAGAUGGUGGAGGGCAGAGCUCUGUGGGUCAUGUGAGCUGCCUUGCAUUCCGUAAGCUAACCUGCUGCCCUCAAGUGUGGAGGUGUUGAUCUUGUCACCAGUCCUGAAGUAAGAGCUAACCGUCAGUCUGGUUGGCUUUUGUCACUGGAAUGGGAAGAGACCCUGCCUUGUUAUCUGCCUGAGGCAGCAUAAUGUUUUGGGCUGGUCCACCUAAAUAUAGAAGACAAGGGGUCCUUGUGGAGGGCUUCAGAUAAAGAAGGCUUCUAAAAUAAAGGAUUGACUUAGGGAGAUCAUGUGCUCUAUUAGAUACUAAUAUGUAUUCUUAUUGACAUUAGGCAAGUGCCGUUGUCGUGCUCCUUUAGAUGCUUGUUCAAAAUUCUUCUGGUUUGGUAGGCAUAUCCAGAAACAUGAUUUUGCUCUAAUGCUUCUUAAAUUUCUUUCAGAUGUUUUAUAGUGUUUAAAUGUUUUCAACAGUUUUCAACAUUUCUGUUUUAGGUAUUUUUUGUUACGGAAGGGUUUGCCACCACUUUGGGAGGUAUGGUGGGAUAUAAAUUUAAAUAAACAAUACAUUUACAUCUUUCAUACUUGUUAAGUUGUUUAAAAAAAAAAAUAAUCCAAAAGAAGAGAGAUGUUCAUUUGUUGCAGCUGGGAAACAUCUUUCGCUUAGAAGCAGAACUAUGUGCAAACCUUUUGCCAAACCUUGUUUAACAUUUGGUAUGGGCAUAUGGGGCCAGAUAAAACUGAAUUCAGCCGACAAGACUGUCACUUGGCCAUCUCACAAAUAUCUUGUGAAUUAAUGCUUCACCUUCAAAUCACACCAAUCUUUUUUUCCUAUUUAUCUAUGUUUCCUUUUCUGACUAGCUAGUUAUCAUUCAUACUGAUUCUCCCUUUUGCAGUUCCUGGCAGUCUUGGUACAGAGGAAAAAAAACCCCAGUCUUGAUAUGUUUUCAUUGGCAAAUUACUGAUUCGUGAAAUCAGUUUUCAGGAGCUUCUAAAAAAUGUAUGGGUUCUGAGAAUAUGAUAGUUUAGCCAUUCAAGAUUUUGUACACUGGUAAUUCUAGAAACUCGAAAACUGACAACAGACAUAUGGGAAAUGCUUAAAACUGUUUGUUAUUAUCAAAAUAUGAAACACAAUAAGCCACUAGAGAGAUCCAUAUGAAUUUAUGAAUGGCUACAGUGAAGAAAAACCAGAACAAUACAGUCAUGACAGUAAGUACUGUCAUAUGUGUCUGCUCAGCACUUCCAAACCUUAAUGGCAAGGGCAACACAUGGUUAGAAAACUGCAGAGAAAAAUAGUGCUUGACUCUGCUGGAAUAAAUAUUCUAAGCAAUGCUCAUUUGCAGGGCAAUUGCCACUCUGAUAAUUUGGACCUCCAGCACCAAAGAUGGAUCCCCAAAUCAGGGGCAUAGUUUGUGAGGGGGGGAAGGGGGCAUGGAUCCUCAGGCACAUGAUUUUUAGGGGGCCCGAGCCAGGCACCCCCAUGCAGGAAUCCCCAUCCUGCCCUUCCUGCUGCUGGGGGUCUCUGAGCCCCGAAGCCCAGCCCAGCCUUGCCUUGCCGCCGCGUCCCCAGCCCCCUCACUGAAUGGCCACCUGGCCAGCAUGGGGGUGGGAUUUGCCUGCCAAGGGCUGCAAUGGCUGGUUGGGCUCCUCCCUACAUGGGUGGGCAGGGGCACAGCGCAGCCCCAAUUGGUUGUGGUGGCCAGGGCUGAGGCUGGCACACAGGCUCUGUGAACUCUCCGUGCCCCAAGUGUGCAUGCUCAGCCGUGUUGGCGGCAAGGGCUGGCCUGGUGUGGUGGGUUCUGGUGCCCUGCCCCCACCCUGUGUGCACCAAAAAAAUGACACAACGCCACUGCCCCAAACUUCAGUUCUGCUGCUUCAGAGGGACUGCAACCCCAUCCAGUACAAGCAGCUGACUAAUAUCCCAGGCCUGGAACUGCUCACCUUCAAAGCCUCUACAGGGUCGGCCAUAGAUGUUUUGCUGCUGUAGGCAAUGUGUCCCUACACUGCCCCUGUCCCAACAUGGAAGCUGCCCCCACAUCUGGUCCCCUCUGCCUCUCUGCCCCUGCUAUCAGCCCUGCCACCUCAACUGAACCCUUCCUGUGGUGGCCUCCAUGCUCCCACCAUGAAACAGUGGCUGUGGCAAUGGCAACUGUAUGGUGGCAGUGUUGCACUGGCAAGAAUGGGGAGGGGGUUGUAUCUGAGACCCAAAGUAAGUUGCAUCGUCUCCCCUCAUGUAUGGAUUCCCCUUAGGCCUCUGACUUAAUAAUCAAGCAUUGCCUCCUUCCCUCCCUCUGUUAGUGGAUGCGUCCCACGGGGGUAAGAGUGCAAUAAGCAUAUACAGUGGUACCUCAGUUCUCAAAUGUCUCAGUUGUGGAACAUUUCAGAACCUGAACACUGAAAACCCAAAAGUAAAUGCUUACAUUUUCGAACGCGCCUCAGAAGUCGAAUGGCUUCCGCUGCAUGUUUUCGAGUUUCUCAACUGCAUUUGCAGCCAACGCUUUGUGUUUUCGAAUGUUUCAGAAGUCAAACAGUCUUCCGGAACAGAUUACGUCCGAGAACCGAGGUACCACUGUAUUACCUAAACCAGGGGCAAGGAACCUCAGGCUCAGGGACUAAAUAUGCUCCCCACAACCUCUGACUUACUAAGAUUUAUUUAUUACCAGUUUAGUGGCCCUCAUCGAGCCCACCACUGUAUCCAAACCCUGUACUAAGCUUUCCACAAUCACACUUGAUUAAGAUGUAACAGACAAAGUGAACUAGUGUCAUCUGCAUACUGAUGAUACUGUGCCCCAAAUGCAUAAUGACCACAUCCAAUGGCUUCUUAUAGAUAUUUAACAACACUGGGGAUAAGAUGGCACACUGUGGUGUACACAGUACAACUGCCAACUAUUUUGCUUAGUUGAGUCAAGUGUACGGGGUCUAAAAAUACCUCAGUGGUGUUUCCAAACUAGGCCUACAACUUCCAGAAACGCACAGUCAGAAGACAUAACCGAGCACGUACAGAUUCUCCAUUUUACCAUUUAAAGAGUUUACACACAAAGACAUAUACCGUACAUUUGUGCCUAAACAUGUGAUUUGCCAAAGAGGUUGCAGGAGUGGUGUAAAUGGCACUCCCUUUCUCAAAGCUGAAGCAGAGACACUAUAAAAGGAACAUAUGAACGCCUUCAAUGAAUAUGCCAGAAUCAUCCUGAAAAGUAUUUAAAUGCUUUAGAUUAAUCGGAAAUUGUGUCUGAUCCCUCCUGUUUUCCAAUGAUUUGCAUGUGUUUAAAACAACAACAGUGAAACAGGUUAAAUUUAAAGAUUAUGUGUUUAUGUUGGUAUUUGCUUGUGAGAGACUGAGAGAGAAGGGAGCGAGGAGAAAGAGAGACAAAUGUGUCAGUUGUCUUCUGGACCAUCAUUGUGUUCACAUUCUUUGAAUAAGUUCACACAAUGCCAUUUGAAUAAAGCCAGAACAAAUUCUACUUGAGAACUGCAUGGAACAAAUGUGGAACAAAGGGGCCAUGUUAUACUCUUUAGUGACAGAACAAUGGCCUUGUUACUGUUUGAUCUGUUCCUUGCAGUUGAUUUCCUUCUUUGCCCAAAGGAGCAAGUUAUAUUGCAGUUCAAAGCUAUGUUCAUUUGCUUGAACCUUGACACCCCUUUUCGACAGAUUUAAACAGUUAAUAAAGGAAUCGGCUUUUGUCUUCUAAAUACUAGACUCUACCAAUAUUUAUCUUAGGAACAAAAGACGCUUUUCCUAGAGAUGCAUGAAUUGCUUUGGGACAUAUGCAGAAUCUUGAGCAUUGUUAAAAAUUGUAACUUCAGGCAAGUAUACCACAGAUUUUGAACCAAGACUCAUUUACAGAGCAUGAAAAGCUCAUUGUUAAAUGUGCAUAUUACGCUUGUUGUUUUGUUGUAAAAUUGUGCAAUAUUGCAAUCUAGAAUGUGCCUAAACAGUGGAACUUGCUGAAACAAAGGCAAACCUAAAAUUCAAAGGGAUGGACAGUGCAAAUCCAUAGUGAUCUCAGCUAAUAUAGCUUUCAGCUAUAAUAUUAAUUGGAGGAGUAAUUCACAAUUCUAAUGGAUUACAUUGAAAAUACAAACAGAAUAUUCUAUCUGCAAUUGUCCUACCAAUGUCAGUAGCCUUGAUGUUUUUUAUACAGAGAUGGAUUUAAAAACAUCUUUUGCUGUCGUUAUUGUUGUUAACAAUUAUUUUAUUUCACCUUGCCUAAUCCUAUUAAGAGUGUUAAGAGAUCCAUGGUAGCAUACAAUAUUGAGAGUACAGUAAACAUACACUAAUUUUAAAAUGCAGAAGUCCCUAAGAAUUAUGGGUCUCAUUCAAAUUAAAAUAGAUUAUAAUAAUUAGCUAUAAUAUUUUUGUAAAAAUAAUAAUUAAUAAGACCUAAAAAGUACCUUGAGUUUGACCAAACUGCGGGUGGCAGUGGAAGACAGGAGGUGCCUGGCGUGCUCUGGUCCAUGGGGUCACAAAGAGUCGGACACGACUAAACGACUAAACAACAACAACAACAACAACAACAACAACAAGUACCUGUCUUUCAUUGCUGGCCAGAUUAGAGCAAGCCAGAAUUUCUAGCAUUGCGGACACUGCAGAGAGAAUGCCUUGUGUUCUUCGCUCAUCAUGCUAAUAUAAACCAUUGCUGAGAGUUAAUGUGCAAACAUUCUGGUUCCCAAUGAGUUUGCAGUCACUUUGCUCCUCCCUGGGCCUUUUCAAUCAGCAUGACACAGUAGCUAAGCCAAAGUUUGGCUUAGCAUGACAUGCAAACCUGUAGCUCAGUUUUGUCCUAUGCUAUGGGUUGUCGUUUCAAAGUCAUGGUUAAGGUCGGGAGAGCAUAACCAUGAUACUGGGUUUGGACAACAUGCUAAGCUAAGAUUUACACCCACCCACCAUAAAAUUUAACAAAACAGGUAUGAACUCCUCACCAGGAACCAGUAUGUUCUUAAUAAGCCAUACUCUAGUUUACUGUGACAUGUGAACCAGGCUACUAAGUUAAGAACUGCCAUCAGCACACACAUUUUUUAUGUAUUCAUUAGAUCCCUCUGGCAAGUUGCUGUUUUCUAGCCUCUCUUGGCAAAAGAGAGAGAAUAAGAGUGGCCUGCAACAUAGGAUUAACAGACUACAACAAUACACUGUGCACUUUAUAGCUGCAGUCCUAUGCACCCUUUCUUGUUGAUAAGGCUAAUUAAAUUCAGAAAGGCUUCCUGCAUAACCACCAUUUCUAUGUACACGUACUUAGAAAUAUUAGAUAGGUUGUAAACAUGCUAUAAAAGUCUAUAAAACUAGACUCUGAAAACAUUACGUUUUAUGUCUCAGUAUUCCAUCCAGUCUUAAUUUCUGAGGAGAGACACAGGUAUGGUGUCUGGAAUGGUAUUGUGUGAUCUGCUUUUGCCUCCCAAAAAUAUCCAAGUGUAUGAUUUUUAGCCAUGAAUAUUAAACAUUGGUUUUUUGUUUUUUUUUAAAAUUAUUGGGUAUAUCAUUUUAAGUGGAAUACAGUAUACUUUUUAAAUAUAUCUAAACAUAUAACAUUAAUUCUUCUUAGCAGGAAUAACUACAGCACAUCCCAUUUAUAAAUUAAAUCAGGAGUCCUAAAAUUUUAUAAUUUUGUAUCAUGAACUUCCCUUCAGGGCUUUCCAGAUGAUUUUUUUAUGUGCAAUAAAAGUGGAAUUGUUGCUUUGUAGUCCAAAGGUCUUUUCCCAAGCUAACACAUCUGUUGUGGAGUAAUAACAUGAUCCCAGUGUUCAAGUGGCAAUAUUUUGUUAUUGGGAAAAUGGGAUUUCCUCCCAGUUAGCACAUUAUUUGGGUUCCCCAUGUAGGGUUAUUGUUAGACCAUUACAAGUACCUAUUGACUAAUGACGAUAACAUCACUUGUGAUGAUGGACAUACAUUAGGCCAGAUUUUUUUUUUUUUUAAUAUAUAGAGAAUUUUUUUGAUAGAGUUACUAACUUGGUAGAUCAAGAGAAUGCUAUGAAAUGUAAAGUUCUGCAUUUAGGCAGCAACAAUCUUAUGUACAAAUACAGGAUGGAUGAUACUCAGGUCUACAGCAGUGCAUGUGGAAACAUCUGGAGGAUUUAGUAGACCUUGAGCUAAACAGGAGUCCAACAUGCUAGCUGGAAACACCAGCCAAUUCUAGGUUGCCUCAACAGAAGUACAGUGCCCAGAAUGUGUGAAGUAAUUGUAUGUCUUGCUCUAUUCUGCUUUUGCCUGAUCUCACCUGAAGGGCUGUGUCCUGGAUUGGGCACCACAGUUUAAGAAGGAUAUCAAUAAACUGGAACAUAUUCAGAGGAGGAUGACAACUAUACUGAGAGGCUGAGAAAUCUAUGAGGAAAGGCUGAAGGAAAUGGGCAUGUUUAUCCUGAAGAAGAGACAACUAAGAGGCAAUGUGAAAGCCAUCUUCAAAUAUUUUAAAGGGCUGUCAUAUAGAUGAUGGAACCCAUUUGUUUUCUGUUGUGCCAGAGUAUAGGACCCAGCGCUUUUUUCCCUAAAAAAUGUUCAUGGGUAUACUCUCAUUUUCCUACUCAUAUUGAAAUGCUGCCCCUCAAUGAGGCCCAACUUAGAUUUACAAAGUGUUUCGGGGUAUGUGUACCCAUGCAUCCUCCCAGAAGAAAAGCACUGAUAGGACCUAACAAGAAAAAGGCUUUUAGGACAUAAAAAAGAACUUUCUGAUGGUACAAGCUAUUUGAGAAUGGAGCAGGCUGUCCCAGAAGGAGCUAGACACUGCUUUGGUGAAGGUUUGAAGUAGCUUCUGGAUGGCCAAAUGUUAGGGCUGCUGUAGUUGUGGAUUUCUUGCCUCAGCAAGGGGUUGAUCUUUGAGAUCCCCCCCAACUCUAUGACCCUACAAUUCUAUGUGUAUUUCCCUGAUUCAAUCAAGGCUAGUAAAACCUAACAUGAGAGAAGCUCAUAACUCAUAACCACAGCAGUGCUCCAUCCAUUCUUGGGAUGCUAGCUUUAUAACUAGAAAACUUUAGAUUUAGUGCUAUGCAGUAAUCCAAGCAGAGGGCUAGAACUGAGAGUAAGCUAAGCACAAAGUAGGCUGAACAGAUUUUUUUUUGAAAAAUUAUAUACGUGGGAGCCGUUUGGGGCAGACAAUGAAGUUGAUUUAAAACUAGCCAAGUGGCAACUGCAGCUUUACAUGUGUGAUGACUACAUAAACUUGUUUGCUCUAGGAAUCUAGCAGUGACAUCUGUAUAUGGAAAAACACAAAGCUGCAAGUCCAAAGCAUAUAUUUAGCUUGUAUCUACAAAACUUGCAGAAGAGCAUUAAAUCAGCAAAAUGAAAAGCAACCAACAACCAGACAAGAAACAUAAAAUGAGCUGGCUACUCUAAGGCACAGCUACAGUAAUUAUUUCAGUCUUUUGCUUACGGGUAUACCAACUGUUUACAAUUUACUGUUUGGCAAAGCUGGGUGUUCUCAUUUUCCCUCCUGGUUCAGGAGUCAAAAACAUAUGUUACCUUUCGUAAUGAACUCGUCUAAGAUUUGAAGCUAUCCAUAUUCAUGUCACAAGAAAUGUUUACGCGAGAACAAAAUGCUUGGAUAUCCAAAUAAAUCAGAAACAUCUCAAAGUUUAUAUUUCCUUAUGCUUCCUCGGCAUAGUAAAGCAGAGAAAUGUAGUUUAAUUAAAAACAAAAACAAAAACAAAAAAGCCUUUUCAAAAAUCAUUGCACUCUCAAAGUAAUGCAAGCUAAUGUGUAGUUUCGCCAUCCUCUAAAGAUUUAUUGCCUAUCAAUAGAUACAAGGAAAUGUAAUAUAAUCAUAUACUGUACACACCUUGCAUAUUUUCCAUCUUCUCUGCAUAAAUUAUAUAUUCAUUUUCAUAAUUACACUCUUAUUUCUAGUUUUAACAUAAGCUGCUAUUAACUCCUGGGUGCCUAUAAAAAUAUUACUGUAUUAUAUACCUAUGCAAGUAAUGCUUGAAAUCUUUUUUUAAAAAAGGAAUCUAUUUAUUUAGAUUAUGGCUAGAUGGGUUUUCAAACUACCCAUGACCUACUAUAAUGGCCAUCUGUGUAAAUGGUUACUACUGGAAAAAGUCCCAAUUUACAGCAAGCUGGUACUGAGCAGGAUUCAGUGUUUGGCAUGUAAUUUUUGAGCACUUGCUGUGCCAUGUCAGAGCAAAAUUGAAGGUACGGUAUGUUGGGGAAUGAGUUUGCCUGGCUAGCCGUAGCUGUGCUUUCCCCGUAGUUUAUGGUUGCCUAUGAACAAUAUUACUACAAUGGUACCUUGGUUGUCGAACGGCUUGGCUCCUGAACAAAUUGGCUCCCGAUCGCCGCAAAUCCGGAAGUGAGUGUUCUAGUUUGCGAACAUUUUUUGGAAGCCGAACGACCGACGCGGCUUCUGAUUGAGUGCAGGAAGCUCCCGCACUCAAUAGGAAGCUGCACUUUGGUUUUUGAACUGUCCUGGGAGUUGAAUGGACUCCCAGAACAGAUUAAAUUCAACAACCAAGGUACCGCUAUAUAUAGCUUCAAUAGGAAUUGUUGACAGACUACCAAUUUUUCAAAUAUUAGAUGUUUUAUACACUUGUGGCAAUGCAGUCAAUACAAGGAGCUGUAUCCACACAGUGCCCUUGCCCAAAUACAAGGACCUUAGACCCAAUAGAAAUCAUUCACUAACUGAAGACCCCCACCCCAGUGCUGCUCUUCCUUCUCCUUGCUGUCACCUGUGCUCUCAAGGUGAAUGAGCCGAAGCAGCUUUCAAUUGCAUUGCCCUCUAAGGGAGAGCCAUGGAGAAAGGUUGGCCCACUCCAAGAAGACGACUCAAGGGAAGCAGCAACAACAAAGAGAAGGCAGGUGAGGCUAUUGAUGGAGAUGCCACCUGAAAGCCACCUUGUCUAAACCCAAAAAUGACAAUGAUUUAGGGAGGUGAGGUGACUAUCCCUUUUCAUAACAGUACACUGCACUGAAACCAGUGGAACUUGCUUCUAAAUUGAUGAAUUUAGGACUAAGCACAUGUCAUAACAUGGAGGGAAGUGUCUAGGAGAUGCAGUCAAGUAGUCAGAAGUUUGCUAUCUACAUCAUGGAUAAAGUUGUUGAUGUCUUGUUUUAGUUACCAAGAUGCCUCUAGUUAGACUGUGCUUUCCAGCCACGCUGUAUAGAGACUUGUUGUUUACCAGGGCUCUAUUCCACAGGGUCAUCUGUUGAUUUUGUUACUUCAUUUAUCAGCCAAAGAUCCUCAUGCAUCUCUGUCUGCACAGCAUGUCCUGUGAACUCUCUAAUAUCCCAUAUAUUCUAAAUGUCCAGGAUAUUAGAAUACUCUGUACAUUCCAUUGCCAUGAACAUUGCAUAAUGUCUUCUAGAUUGUGGCAAGGUUGGAGAUGAAAGGUUACAUUAUGUAUUUGCCAUGCAAUCCCAGAUAUUUCUUCCAGAUAUUUAUGCUACAAUUUAUGCUUGAAGUAGACUUGCUGUACUGUGGCUUCUUGAAGCAGACUUUGCCAACCUAAAGCCUUUGCUGGAACUGGUGGGAGUUGUAGGUUAAAAUCAUUGGACAGCACCGGAUUAGCAGAGGCUGGUGUAAGGUGUCAUGGACUUUGAAGACACGCAAACUCAGAAUGCAAGGGAGAAAAGUGCUAAGAGGAAGGCAUGCUUGGCAAAUCCACACCGUGAUCAACUCCUGACCAGGAACCAAUGCCUCCAAUGUGGAAGGACGUGUGGGUCCAAAAUUGGCCCCCGUAGUCACUUAUGGACUCAUUGUUAAAACCGUGUUUAUGGAAGACAAUCUUACUCAGCUGCAAGUGAAGAAGAAGGAGAAGGAGAAGGAGAAGGAGAAGGAGAAGAAGAAGAAGAAGAAGAAGAAGAAGGGUUAAAAGGGGCUACACCCUUACUAUGUUUCAGUCCUGCUGUUAUUGAUCUAGCAUUCCCAAUUGGCAGAUUCAUUCAGUGCAGGAUAGGACUUCUACCUCUAUAAGAGCUUCCAAAAAAUAUAUAUCAUAAGUUGGAAGGGGCCAUGAAGGUCACCACCUGCCACCCAACCUCUGCUUCAAAACGUCCAAUGUAGGAGAGUCCACAACCUUCCGAGGGAGUCUGUUCCACUGUCAAACAGCUCUUACCACCAGAAAGUUCUUCCUGAUGUUUAGUUGGAAUCUCCUUUCUUGUAACUCGUGUAUACUCUCAAUCUGCCUUCCAUGCUGCUGGCCAUGGAGUAGUGCAGGAGUGAAAAUUUCAGAAAAUGCAGUUUCUUCCUGCUGCACUCAUUAUUAUAAGAAAAGCUGCUCCUGAUGAAAAUUAUCUGUUAUAUCCAACUAUUCAGAAUUCUCGAGUCCCAUACAAAAUCCAGAAACCCGGCAGCAAAGUUCAUUCCUUCUCUGUUAGUCAGGUUAAACCUAACGGUGGAAAUGUAAACUAACAUAACAUAACAACAUAACAUAACAUAAUUAAAAUAGGAGAAAAUCUGUUUUUAUUUCCUCAACUUGGAGGCAGUGUUCCCGCUUUUCAAGUUUUGUUCCUUUGGACUCUCUGUACAACAUUGAUGAGUAAAGCUGGUGGAAUUCUGCAACAAGCAAAUCCCUGUGUCAACUUAUAUUAUUAAGCAGCAGCAACCUCUUGCUAAAAGUGAUUGGGUGAAAUGGUGCUGUCAGCAUGGUUUGCUAAUGCAUAUCACAUGUAUCUAAUGCCUUGGGCCCAUCUGUCCUCACUGGAUUUAUGGAUUUUACUCAGGCUUUUCUGCGAAAGGAGAGGAAUGAGUGGGGGAAGGGGCUGUUCCAGUAUUGGUAUGCGGCAACAUUGGGCACUUGUUUUACUCUUUCCCACUGCAAGACACCUCAUGCUUGGACGGGUGCAAUUCAAGGAGCUGGCCGCUGGCGAGAAUGGAAGGCUUUUUGGUUGAAACGACCACAUUCUUGCCAAUGAGUGAUUUCAUGACCCAGAGCACACAGGAGAGCCAAAGUCUUUUGCACACAUCCAGAAAAAGGGCCUUGGUCAUGAACUUCACCUGUAAAUACUGUAUAUAUGCAGCUGUUUUACGCCUACAUAUGGUGGUGGUGGAAUGCAGAGGUGGCAGUAGCCAUAUUGCUAUGUAGCAGGUACAGAGCUAUAUAGUAUUGCCUGCAGAGGCAGCAUGUUAGGGAACAAAACUACCAGCCAAGCGUCCUAGAAUUCCUUCUGUGACUCUGAGGUGUUGGACUCCCAGCAAUCCAAAGGCAAAUACUUGCUUCCAUGCAUACUCCUCUCAAUCUACCUAAUAAAUGGAUAUGAAUAGUUUUAAAUCAGCACCUUAUUUUAUGAUGUGGACAGUUGGCCAGUCUUGUAAUACUGGAUGUUGUCUAAUUUUGCUGUCCUUUGAUGUGUGGUGAAGCCUAAGUGGAAGGCACGUACCAGAGUCAUCGUACCCCAGCUGCCUUUAGAUUCAGUUUGUGGCAAUAGGUCUUAACCUUAUCACAGUUCUUUUAAUGAUGUUUUUUUCUGUUUAAUUUAACUGCAAAUCAUAUUAGCAGAGUUUUGACUGCUAUGACGGAGAGCUUAAAAACCGAAGUUAUUUCAAAAGCUAAGAAUGUGUCAAGUCUGUCAUGUUUAGUCAAUAUGAUCCAUUCAAGUGUAGAGCUGUCAGAGAGGACAACACUGGCUGGUGCUUAAUCUGUUCACUUCUGAAGAGGAGUAAAAAAACACACAACGGACUUGCAGGAUAAAGUAAUAGUUUUUGAUCUAUCAUGGUUACAGUUAAAUAACCAAUUUGUGGAUUUGUUAAGGGCUCUAAGUAAGGCGCAGAGGUCUACAAUAGAGAAAAUGCAUAGUACCACAGUAUAUUAUGCAGUUCAGGGAUUGCCAGCGUGGUGCCCAUGGGCUCAGUUGCACCCUGGGGUCUUCCUCUGGCACCCAUAGAACCUCUGAGGCUCCCCACUUUGCCAUCCUCUUGGUCAUGGGAUGGUGAAAAGUACAUAGAUGUGAAGGAGAAAAUUGGAAAAGUACUGGUAUCUCUUUCCUACUUCUUCUUUCACCCUUAUGCCUCAGAUUACAGUGGUACCUCAGGUUAAGAACUUAAUUCGUUCUGGAGGUCCGUUCUUAACCUGAAACUGUUCUUAACCUGAAGCACCACUUUAGCUAAUGGGGCCUCCCACUGCCGCCGCACUGCCACCGCGUGAUUUCUGUUCUCAUUCUGAAACAAAGUUCUUAACCUGAGGUACUAUUCACACAGACACACUUAAAAGGCCACAGAAUGGCUCAGGGGGUCACAUAACUUCCCUGACAUGAGUGGAAGAAACAAACCUAGAGGAUUAUGACAGUAACUACUUGAUAUUCCCUUUAUUAUCAGGCAAAUGCUAGGCGCUUUAGGAAAGACAGAAGGGAUUUGAUAUCUGUGCAUUGCAUGAGGCAUAGUUAGCCAAUGUGAUAUCCUCCAGAUGAGGUUGGACUCCCAUAUCCAUCACACUCAGUCAGUGUGGUCAGUGGUCAGGGAUGAGGACAAUUGUAGUCCAACAACAUCUAGAGGGCCCCACCAUGCUAACUGACUCUGGUCUAUAGCACCCCUAAAGUCAGUGGCAUAGCAUGGGUGCCAGGGGGGCUGUGACCCCGGGGCCAAAAUUAAGAGGGGAUGCAACGCAGGGACCAAUUUCCACAGGGAUCCCCACCUUGGCAAAAGCGGUGGAGCAGUCCAUGCCCAUGGUGAGUGGGUGCAGCGGAGGAAGGCGGGCAAGGGGUGACCCCAGUGCAGCCCAACUUGGCACUGUUUUCUGUGGGCAUCAGGAGGAUUUGCCCACCAAGGGCUGUGUCAGCCAGCCAGGCUUUCUCUGCAUGGGCGCAGCCCCACUUAGCUCUGGUGGAUGGCGUUCUGGUAGCAUCAGCGGCUUGCUCACCCUGGUCUCUGGCAACCCAUGCUACACCUCUGCCUACAGUUACUGUAUGUCUGGUCUAUAGUUAAAUGCCAAGAUAGGUAGAGAUGAGAUAAGUGAUUGACGAAUGCACCAGUUUCUUUUUAGUUCGAGAGAACCUUGAUAUUUUGGGAUACAGGUAGAAACAAACCUGUUCAAAUGCAAUGGAGCGAAUUUGAUACCAGCAUAAUGGGCCUAAUUACAGGUGGAGAUGAAUCAGCAUACAGGGGGGAGGUUCAAAAAGUAUCUACAUGGUGCUUAGAGAAUAACUUGCACAUAAAUAUUAGCAAGACAAAGGAGAUGAUGUUGAACUUUCGGAGGAAGAGAGGGGAACUAGCCCCAUUGUAUAUCAGGGGUGUGUGUGUGUGUGUGUGUGUGUGUGUGUGUGUGUAGAGAGUCUCUUCCUUUAAAUUCCUGGGAGUUUACCUUAGUGAAGACCUCACUUGGAAAAACAAUAUAACUCAGGUGGUUAGGAAGGCCCAACAGAGACUCCAUUUUCUCAGGGUCCUGCGAAAGAACAAUGUUAAACAGCAAUUGAUGAACUCCUUCUACCAGUCCACAAUAGAAAGUGUCCUCUCAUAUUGUAUCACAGUGUGGUACGUUGGCUUGACAGCCACGGACAGAAAGACUUUACAGAGGGUGAUGAACACAGCACAUGAUAUCAUGGGCUGUUCCCUGAACCCACUAGAUGACAUAGCAAGGGAUCGUUGCCUUAGGAGAGUGAGAAAAAUUCUCAGGGACGAUUCACACCCCGGCCAGCCCCUCUUUAAUCUUCUACCCUUGGGCAGGAGAUAUAAAAGUAUAAUCAGUCGUACCAACAGUUUCUAUCUGUGGGCUGUUAGGCUGCUGAACGGAAAAUAAUAUAGUGCAACUGACUUUCAGGGUUGGUGUGUUGUGCGGCAAGCACACAGAGUGCAAUGAGAUUGCGUGUUUGGGGGGGAGGCUUGGUUAAUUUCAUUGUACACAGGUUGUACAUUGACAAUAAAGGCAUUAUUAUUAUUAUUAUUAUUAUUAUUAUUAUUAUUAUUUGUGGGCCACCCAGUUUGCUUGUUCUUCCUGAAAACAGUGUACACAUCAUCACCACCUAUUUCUAAUUUGCCAGAUGAUGUAGGGCAUUCAUUUCCCUAUUUUACAGACAGAGACAUGAAGCUGAACUUGACUUGUCUAGCAGCCAGGAGGUUAUCUGCUGCAUGUGGUGGACUUUUGUGUUUCACUCAGUUUGAGUAUGCUCUGGCCUGCAUACUGUAUCAGACUUUAAUGGGACAGGUGCCAAAGUAAGAGUAUGCCCUAGAGUUCCCUGUGACAGGGCAGUCCCACAACUGAAAUUAUAACCUGAAAGAACUGACAGCAAAAAAUCUCUUACUUUGCAUGUAUUCUCUCUGCUGACCUUCAGCGACUGUGACUUUGCCUGACCAGAACUGCAGCCUUCCCAGGACAUAGGAUGCAAGAUGGUGCGUGACAGCACCAACCUAGAUAUUUGUGAACACGCUGCAGUUAAGGGGUGGGGGUGGGGGUGGGGAGAACCACAAGAGAUCUUUAAAGGCAACUGUGGAGAAAUGGCAACAAAUAAAUAACCAAUCAAUCAACCUUGCUAAAAGUUAUAAAGCUGAUGGAAGUAUAGCUCUAGUUCAGGGGUCAGCAAACUUUUUCAGAAAGGGGCCAGUCCACUGUCCCUCAGACCUUGUGGGGGGCCGGACUAUAUUUUGAAAAGAAAAUAUGAACACAUUCCUAUGCUCCACAAAUAACCCAGAGAUGCAUUUUAAAUAAAAGCACACAUUCUACUCAUGUAAAAACACGCUGAUUCCCGGACCGUCCGUGGGCCAGAUUUAGAAGGCGAUUGGGCCGGAUCUGGCCCCUGGGCCUUCGUUUGCCUACCCAUGCUCUGGUUAAUGUAAAGCCACUUCUGCCUUAGGAGGAGGUGGAGUUGCAGGCACUCACGACUCCUUCACGUGCACAGGGAUGUGGACAGCCCUGUGCGAUUGGGGGGAUUCCUGGCUGCGUCAUUGCCCAGGCAACCAAUCCGAUUGCUCUGGGGGUGUGGCCUGCUUGAUUUAAGCAGGACGCAGUGGGAAUCUCACCCCUUUUUGCGCUUCUAGCUGUUCUAGUUUUCCCACCCUCCCGCCCUUUAGGUUUUUCCAUCUCUCUCUCUCUUUUUAAUUUUAUUGACUAUUUUCACAUAACAAAUUAUUUCAACAAUUGUAUUCCCCCCAUUUCCUCCCUCCCACCCCCACAUAUUCCCCCUCCCUCCCCCUACGACUUCCCUCAGUUCCUCUUUCUGGUUUAUUAACAUAUACUGUUCUCUGCAUAUUAUAAAAAUGUGAAAAUCUCUAAGUUAUCCAUCUAUUAUGUUAACAAAUAAAUUUGUGUAUGUUUAUUCAAAACCUGCCAAGAAGUCCAACUCAUUUUGUUGUUUUUUAAAGUACUUUGUAAAAGGUUCCCAUGCCUCUUUAAAGUCACAGUUGUCCUCAUCACGUAGUUUUUUCAUCUCUUGACCUUGCUAUGGACUUUGGCUGGUCGCCGUCGAGGGGCCUGGUAGGACUUUUUCCACUUGGCCAAUGGGCACCAGCCACUUGGUUUUCGCCUACCUCGUAGCAACUCGUCACAACUUUGUAAGGUUUGGCUGUUAGGCACUGGAAUAUUUCUGGAGAAGAGAAGAGGGGAGGUAGCGCCAUCACCUCCCCCACACAUUGAAGGGUAUUCUGUUAAAGGAUUCCGGGGGCCUGGCCCUGUCCGAAGCAUGGGGAGGCUAGGGCCUAAGGCACGACCCCUAUCGGUGGCCCUGGGGGAGCUCCUAGUUGAUGUGCAUCACAGGACUGCCCCUACUGGUGGUUAACCCUUCCCGGACUCCGCGCAGAGAGGUGGGAGUCAGAUAUAGUUGGUUAGGUCCAAUGCCUAAGCCAAUACUGCUCACAAUCUGUAACCAAUAAAGUUGUGGUCUUUUUUAGCCCAUUAACCUAAAAUAUUGUUGUCAAGUGUCUUUAUUGGCCCUGUUUAGGGAAGUUUUUAAGGUCUGAUGCUGUAUUGCUUUUAAUAUUCAGUUGGAAGCCACCCAGAGUGGCUGGGGAAACCCAGUCAGAUGGGUGGGGUAUAAAUAAUAAUAAUAAUAAUAAUAAUACCUCGGGGGGGGGUCGGGACCUUGCCACGCAACUACCCAAAUACCUUGCACUUCUGCUUACAAUUCCUGCCGCAGCAUCUUUACAGCUGUUAUAAUAUGCAAGUUCUGUUAGUUAUGGCAGAUUGAUACAUAUAUCCUAAUGACAGCUUGAGUCAGUGGGAAUUUUGACUGAGUAAUUGCUAAAGGUGUGAGCCAAUGGUUCAUGCUCAUUAUUGUUUUCAUUAGAAUUCCCCAUUACAAACUUUAAAAGAUACAUUAUUUGUCUUUAUCUUCAUGUUACGCCCACCCCCCCCACCCCACCUCCCUUUUGCAUUGCAGAAUACAAUCUGGGAAAAUGCAUGUGCAAUCUUAAUUGUUUGACUUUGUUUAUCCCAUGGAGAAACCAAUACAGCACUUACAGUAAUUAAGAUAUUUUUUCUGGUCUUCUCAUUUUGUUAAUGAUAUCUUAUUGAAGGCUGUGCAGUAAUUACUGCCCACCGAGGUACACGCUCUGAAGCAAACUAAUGGCCAAUGACCAAUAAUGAUUACAUCAGUAAUUAUCUGUUAUGAAGUAUAAGCAAACAGCAAAAAAGUCUGAAAUUAAAACCAGUGCGUUUGAAGCUAAAAUUACUCAUCUUAUUAAACAAUACUAAAAUUAUAUUUGCAAUUCAUUGGAAAAAAUAUACAGUAAGCUGCUUUCCUCAACUGAAUACUAAUGUUCUAGUUGUUUUCCAAUUAUAUUUCCAAAAAUAUUUUUUUUCAACCCACUGCCUAAGGAACAAUUGAAAACUGUAAGUGCCAUUUUUUCAGUGGUGAUUCUGUUGUUAAUGUUCUACCUUUUCAUAACCAAUAGCACUUGUAUGAAAAAAAAGUAUUGGAUGAAUAAUGAAAUAUUCUGUGUGUUCCUUUUCAGCCAUGUGCCUGAUUUUGACCUCAUGCAAACUGUUGUUGAACAUUAUCAGCACUUGAAAAUAAUAAUAAUAAUAAUUAAAAUAUUAAAAAUAAUAGAAAUAAUAAUAAAUCUUUGGACCUUAGGCCUGGUAUACACAGACAUCAGAAUGAUGGGGCAAUGUGGCAGGAGUCCGAGGUGGUAGAAUGAACUGUUCCAUUUCAGACAUCAGGAGGAGGGAGGGAUCACAUUUUCAAUACUUUGCUACAUAAAAGUAAUAAUGAAAAAAACCUCCAAACAGAAAAUUAGCACAGCAGAAAGCAGGCAGGAUUGGAACAUCUUCGUUUGUUUGUUUAUAAAUGCAGUAGGGGUUUCAUGCCAGGGCGUUCAGAAUAAACUUACAUAAACUGGAGUACAUAAACUGGUACACUCCAUUAUUCCACCUCAUAAUUUAAUUGCUUUGUUUUGCUGAAAGUGUAAAGCAGGCCUAAGCCUGUGCAGGUUACUUGCUCAUCCCUGGUAUACAUUUCAGUCAGCAGGCGAUUCUGGGUUUUGGAUAGAGUUGGAGUUGGAGUUUUCUGUGUCUGCUUUGCACUUGCUGGAGAGAGAGAAUUAAGUUCUUGUCUAGCUUCCUAGAAGGUGCACCAAGUAGAGGGGGGCAGGCCUCCCCAAAUAUUUUCAGUGAACGGGCUGGGCCCCUUCAAAGUUUUGUGGCAUCCAUGCAUGCAUGCUGCGGGGCAUGCUUGCAUCAUGCGCACAAACCGCCAGGCAUCUGCAUGACACAUAAGCAUGGCCCGUGGCACGUUUGUGUCAUGAACACACAUCCCACAGCAUGCUGACACACAAGCUGCAUGCUGAUGUGUGUGUGUGUGCUGACACCAUGCGCACAUGCCUUGGGGCCAGGGCCAGAUUUAGGUUUGAUGAGGCCCUAAGCUACUGAAGGUAAUGGGGCCCUUUAUAUGUCCAGCUGUCCUUUGUCAACAACAAAUUGUUGCUUUUUUGUGUUGAAUGUAUGCUAUAUGGUAAUUUAUGGCCCUAAUAGGUAUCUAAAGCCAUUUGCACAUGCAGAAUGUAGGCACCUUAUAUAUGGAAAUGAGCAAAGCAGUGAUAUUUUAGGGAGCAGGCCCAUUACUUACAUCAUAGGAGCCUACACAACACAAAACACUGUUGCUGUAUGCGGGUUUUAUUUUGUUUUUUAUCUUAUACAGUGGAUGCUCAGGUUGCGAAUGUGAUCCGUGUGGGAUGCACAUUUGCAACCUGCAGCAUCUGCAACCCGCAGCGGCACGUCUGCGCAUGCGUGGGUUGUAAUUCGGUGCGUCUGCGCAAAGCCCGAUUUAGCGCUUUUGCGCAUGUGCGACUGCCGAAGCCCAGAAGUAACCCAUUCUGGUACUUCUGGGUUUUGGCGGUCCGCAACCCGAAAAAAUGCAACCUGAAGCGUCUUUAACCCAAGGUAUGACUGUAUUUUGGAAAUGCAUACCCAGUUUUUUCCCCUUUAAUUUUUUUUGGGGCCCCCCAAGAGAGUGGGGCCCUAAGCUAUAGCUUGUUUAGCUUAUAUCUAAAUCUGCUUGGGGCAUGCAUACACAGCAUGCUGAAUUGCAUGGUUCCUCACAUGUCCUGCACAGAAUGGAUCUGGAAGGCCUGUUGGAUGGGAAAACUAUGUUUUUGAAUAGUGAGAAGUUUGAAACCAGUUUCUCUUGAGGUUACAGUGUUGCAUGAAGUUAGGGCUCCUUUAAUCCCAUUGACGCCUACACAGUACAUUGAUUUAGAACACUGGUUUCCAAACUUUUUUCAAAGAGGGCCAGAUCUGAUGAAGUGAAGGGCCAACCAAAGGGCUGACUGACCAAAGUUGUUGCCUUUUUUUUAGGAUUGAAGACGUUGAGCUUUUUUUAGAGUUGAAGUUGAUUUUUUUAGGAUUUUACCCCACGAAAUUAAACCGACCUGCGGGCUGGAUUAGGCCCCCAUAAUGGACUUUAGACAUGCCUGAUUUAGAACAUUGUGUAACCAUACAGUCAUACCUCCGGUUACAGGCCCUUCAGGUUUUUUCGGGUUACGCACCAGCCGAAACCCAGAAGUACCAGAACGGGUUACUUCCGGGUUUUGGCGGUCACGCAUGCACAGAAGCACUAAAUCGCACUUUGCACAUGCACAGAAGUGCCGAAUCGCAACGCGUGCGUGCGCAGACGUGCCACUGCAGGUUGCGAAUGCUGUGGGUUGCAAAUAUGCAUCCCGCACGGAUCAUGUUCGCAACCUGAGCGUCCACUGUAUGUGUGUGUGUUCAUGCAGGUUUUCAGCUUAUCAUAUCAGAGUCGUGCACCAGGGGGUGCCAACUGUUUUGGGCUAGCGGGCACAUUUGGCAUUCUGAGACAGUGCCCUGGGUGCCAGUCAAAAAAACAGCUGCCCUGGGAUGUGUGCCAUCACACAAAAUGGCAGCUGCAUCUGAAACUGCAGUAAAAAGAGACAGGGACACAAAAUGGUGCAGCCAUGUCCCCCUCUAUGGGGAAAAGGCACCAACACCACCUACCACUUUGUUUGCUGCUCACAGAGAUAAGCAUUUUGCACAUCUCUUAGAGGACGGCGGGGUGCAUGGAUAUCCAAUCCUUGCAUCCAAUAAAAUGUAGGCAUAUUUAACAGACUGGGGGUGUUCAGUGCAGUUGAGGCUAAGCAAGUGUAAAUGCGAACUGAGCAGGAAGAACAAAUGUCUCUUAUGUGUUGUGCAUUGCUGAGGAUAUAUUUACAGAGACUUUUGUGGUGCCAUGAGAGGUAAUGGCAGGUGCACUGGUACCUGUAAACACUGGAUUGUUGACCCCUAUGGUGUCUCUGCCAUGGUAUGAAGUUCUAUUCUGUAAUACAGGAAUGGGAAACCUUUAGCUCUCCAUGUUUUGUUGGACUAGAACCCCCCAACCUGCAUGGCAUAUGACAGGGGUAAGCAACCUAAGGCCCGUGGGCCGGAUGCGGCCCAAUCGCCUUCUCAAUCCAGCCCGCGGACGGUCCGGGAAUCAGCGUGGAAUCAAAAGGAAUGUGUCCUUUUAUUUAAAAUGCAUCUCUGGGUUAUUUGUGGGGAUUAGGAAUUCGUUCAUUUCCCCUCCUCCAAAAUAUAGUCCGGCCCACCACAUGGUCUGAGGGACGGUGGACUGGCCCACGGCUGAAAAAGGUUGCUGACCCCUGGCCUAUGGUGUGAAUAGAUGGGAAAUGGAGUUCAACAAUAUCUGGAGGGCCUCAUGUUCUAAUACAUUUAGACAACCCUCUGUGUCCAACCUGCUUCUUCAAUACGUUCAUAAAAGUUUAGGAAGGCCAGCAAGUAUGAAGAAUGAAAACAGCCUGCAGAGUUGUGGCUGAUAUUGAUCAUCCUGGUGAAAAUAGCAAUAUUUGUGGGAGGGAUUUGCAUUGGGAAUGCAGUGUGGAAGGGUUAACUCCCCACUCCCCAAUCUGGAUCAUGCACCUAGGACUGCUAUUUACUUAAUAAAACCCAAGCACACACACAAUUGCUAAUUGUCUGAGGAUCAUUGUGCAUGUUAUGAAAGACUUGUAGGAAAUGCUUUGGCUGUAAAAGGAACGGCUUGGCUGCCUUCACCUUAAAUCUCCCUCUGCAAGGAACAUUCUGCACUCAUUGUCACUGCCGUAAGUCUCAAGCCACACAACUGAAGUCAGUUCUCCAAAUGGAGUUAUAAAUCUGAAGCAAUUGAGAGCAAAAUCUGACACAAAUUUAAACCCGGUGUAAUGUGUUUGUGACUUUAUAUCUGGCAGCAAAUUUGGCCCUAUAUAUUUUAUUCCUAAUUCUCACCUUAAAUCAGUUUCAAAGGCUCAGCUGAAUAAGAUAUGCCUCUGUAAAGUGUGUUUUAAAUUAGGAGCUGGUGAAAUACUGUGCUUUUGAUUCCAGGAUGAAAUGUAUAUCCCCCUUGGAAAAAAAAGUGUUUCCAUUGGCUGUUCCCCCCCUCCUCACCGCCCCCCCUUGUCAAGAAACCAGGAUCCAGAGAAGGGAAGAGCUGAAACAAAAACCUCUUUUUAGUUCAUCCUCCAAAUUUCUUCUGGGUUCAGAGAGGUGGUUUAAAAGGGCAGGUUCUAUUAGGCCCAAGUAUUUCUUUCGGGUGGGGAAGGAGUUUGGUUGCUUUAGGAAAGAAAAAGAAAGAAAGAAAGAAAGAAAAAACAAGGCUUCCAACUGGUUUUAAUUUUAUUUGUAAUGUUCAUGGGAACCAGCCACACAUGCUUGGCUGAACUCAGGACUCAGAUUUUUGGCAGGUUUUUUUAUGAGCCCAUCUUGGCAGGCUUUCAAGAUGUCCAGAUUGCUCACAUUAUAUUUGAAUAAGCACGACUCACUAGUUUAAUCUGAAUUGCCUGGUACACCUCUCAUUAGUGCUAGUUAAGAUGGGAAAAUCAUAACAGCACAAAGUGUUGCCGUCGGAGUUUGGCGAGGCUUGCCUGUAAAUCUGCAAUAUAAAGAACUUUUAGGACCUUUCUGUGUGAACAUUUAGUGUGUAAAUUUAUAUUACUGCUACCAUGGAAGCAAUAAAAAAAAUAAAUCCUAACCUCACUUGCUUGAAAUCUAUCACAGGAGCUGUGUAUCUCUUUGUUGGUGUGGCUGUUUUAAUCCCACAAAAAACCUGUAUGUAGAUGUAGAAGUCCAAAGGGAUGUAAGUGAUGCAUGUGUGUGUGUGUGUGUGUGUGUGUGCGUGUGUGCACGCAUGAAGGAUUUCAACCUGUCAUCUGUCUGGCUUACUGCUGUAUCAUUCAAUAUGAAGACAUUUAAAAUCAGUAUCACAGCCUGUGUGCAAAAUCUGGAAUACCACCGUUAACUAAUGCUUUGUCCAUCUGAGGAAAACAAAGCGAAAUCUCCAGCAGCAAACCUGCUCCCCCAAGUCUGGUGUGGUAGCGUCCUAUUAUCACAUCUGGACUACUGUUGUCAGCAUAUUGGCCUAGCUAGCCAACCAUUAACUAUUUCCCUUGUAAUGAUGGGACAGAAUCAAUAACUAUGGCAACCUCCAGACGGCUGCUUCCCCACGGCUGAUUUAGCACUGUAGUGUUACACCAGAAUUAGGGCGGGAAGGGGGGGCGUGUUGUACAUCGCAAGGAAGAUGUGCCAAGUAAUGCAAGAGUUUGUGCUACUGAUUCUCUGGACUGUGCCAUCUGUACUGGUCCUGCUAGCUCCCCCAACCUCUCUGCCAUUUGGACUGAUGGUGUCCAUCACAGGAAUCAGCCUUGCCCUCAUCUGGCUUGUGGGUAUCAGCUGUGCUGAAUCUGUGAGCCAGACACUCUGAAAGUUCUCUGUAUGGAAGCAUCCACUACACUCCAGCUUAGCAUUUCUGAUUAUGCAAAUUGCACCUGCUACCUUGAUUAUAUGUAAAUAGCAUCAGGGGUUGUGUUAUUCAGGUGUUAACAGAUUUGCAUGGUAAAGGUUUCGAUAAUAAUUUGCACUUGCACAUAUACCGUGCAAUCCCAUGCAUUGUUACUCAGAAGCAAGUCCCACUGCUUUCAAUAGGGCUUACACUCAGGAAAGUGUGCAAAAGAGAAAAUCCAGUGUAUAGCAGCCAGUUUGUGUUUCUCUACCUGUAAAAUUAGAAAAAUAAUAGAAUACUAUAUUUUAUGAUUAAAAGGAGCCACAUUAUGUCCCCAAGGUCAACUGAACAUGCAAGACCAAAGCAAAAUUACAGCUCAGCACCUCUACCUCUUGAAAAUCAUUGCGGGUUCCUUGCAUAUUAAUUAAGAUAACAUUACCAAGUCUCCUCUGCUAGGUAGCUUAGAACAAGGAUUUUGCAAGCAGACCUUGGAAAAAUUAGAUUGGAGCUACCUAACUGGCCAGGUUUAGCCAAGUUUUUUGACUGACUCCUAUUAAGCGCCUUAAUAGUCUAUUUGUCAGCAAGCCAACAAGAGAUGUGAAAUGCAUUGGGUUUACAAUCAGUGUAGAUAAUAUUUCAAUCAACGUUUUAGCCUUAAAGUGCAAUAAUACAAUGGAGUCAGGCCUGCAGCCAGCAAUUCUGUGGUUUCGGAAGGUAAGGUGGUAUGUAAUCAUUGCAGAACACCCAGGCCAUAAAUACUGCAAAUGGCUGAAAUAUUAAUUUGUGAUUUAAAAACAAUCUGAGAGACAGAGAGAGAACUGCUAAAUGAAGCUGGAACAUGUUUAUAAGAGAAUAUAGUUCAGGACUACAUUGCUAUUGGAAAGCCAGUGUUUAAAAGUCCAUGAUUAGGCUUGCCCCUUUCGUAUGGCAACUGGCACUCUCUAAUAAGUAUGAUGGGCUGGAAAAACAUGGAAUUUGAAUAUAUUACCAGUAAAUGGAAGUCCAAGUGGCAGGGGCGUAGGAAGGGGUGUGUGGUGGGUGCGGUCCACCCCGGGUGUCAUCCCUGAGGGGGUGAAAAAAGGCACACCGCGGGGAUUGGCACUUACCACAGGGCCUGGCCUGCAGCGCGCCCAAGCCACACGUCUCUCCUGGGAGUGAGGCGGUGGCUUGGGGCCCUGCACUGCCCAAAAUGGCAGCAUGGGGCUUGUGUCCACCAGUGGACUCCAUGUGCGGAUCACUGCGGUGGCCCCGUGGGUGGCUCGCCCUGCCCCUGUUGUGCGGAUCGCCACGGUGCCCCCAUGCACGGAUCCCCAUGCCGCCACCGGGUGCCAGAGCAGCUAGCUACGCCCCUGCCAAGUGGCAUAUGAGAAAUCCUGAGAUCUUAGCUCCCGUUUCCUACCUGUACAUCAGGCAUUGGUUUAAAACAGAUUUUCACACAGGCAUUUGAAGGAGGUCUGUAGCUUGGGUGUGCUUAUUAGUCUGACCACCGGUGAACUGUUUUAAAUUUAACUUCGCCUAUGUUUUAAGCUAACGCUUUACUUGGUUGUUCCAAUCUGCUUGUUUACUGCCCUGAGAUCCUAUGGGAUGAAGGGUGGUUUCAACAAAUAAGCAGCAGUCAAAUCUCUUCCCACUUCCUCAAGCAGCAUCAUAUGUGCCAUUUUGGCUUAUUGGCCUUGUGGAAACUUUCACAAACUGGAGUCAGCCAUAUGAGAAAAGGACUGGAUGCCAAUGCAUCUAAUCCACAGAAGCGAGAUGCCUAACAAAUAAUAGUAACUAUGUAGCUGAAAAUAGCCACUGUCUUCCUUUUGCUCUCACCCAAUAUAUGUUUUUGGGAGGAGUGGGUUCAGCCACUGUAUUAAAAUUGUCCAAGAACAAAUUGAAUAGUUUACUUUUUAUUCUGUUUGUUAAACAUAUAGUGCUCAGAUUUGAUUCCUGAAUGUACCCACUAGAAGAAACCAUGGCACUCCAGAAUAAGAGAUUGGAGGAAUUUCAGCACAUUAAAAAAAAUGUGCCACAGAAUUUCAAAUUUUGCGUUUAUGCUGAGAAUAGGAAUGAAUCCAAGGGAGAAAGGAAAUUGAUUCACUUAGAUUCACUUUUCACUUGCAGCACUGGUAUUUCUUCCUUAUGUUUUAAUUGAUUUAUUGGCUAGAAGAACAUCACUUCCUAAACACACACACACACACACACACACACACACACACAGCUCCCCAGCUCCUUCUGAAAGCAUUUCAAGCUCAAUAUUGAAGGACUGGCUGGAUCGCGUUUUCAAGGGCAUCUGUUCCUGUCUGCUGCUGAGGAUGGGGCCCAUAGAGCAGACUGGAAAGAUCCACCUAGAAUUGCUUGAAUUAAGUCCUUGCACCUGGAUAUAAUUGUCGUGCUGCUGUGCUGGGGUUUUCUUAAGCUACUGGUAAAACAAAUUAGCUCAUUUUAACUGGCAUCCAGUAGGGAAGCACACAACUCUCCUCACAGAAUGUUUUUCAAAUAAUUAUUUUUCUAUUGCCAGCUUUAGCUCAUGAAUAUUUUCCUAAGGCUGAGCAAGAUUUUAUUUUAAAAGGCAAAGCAGAUGCAGAUAAAUAAAUAAAAAAAAUCCUAUUCUGGGCCUCAAUGUUAGCAUUGCUUACAAUUGGGAUGUGAGAUUUGCGUUGCCUUAAUUAUAUUUUUCUCCAUUCACUCCUUAUCCCAACAUAAAAGCCAGAUCAAAAGGAUUGUGUCAUGUCAGUCUAAAACAAAAAGAAAGCAUCUCUCCUCCCCUGCAACCUGUAAGCCCUGCUAUAUAUGGUUCAAGUACCUCCCUAGUAGGAUUUUCCCAGUAAUGAUAUGACUAUUUUAUAUUGUGGCAUGAGGAAGGAUCAAGAAUCUUCCGUAUUCAGAGUAUGCAUUUAUGUGUGCUAUGCGAGUGUAUAUAAAAACCACGAGAUAUCAUUUCUUGGUGCAUUCUGCAUGUCUUACCACAGUCGACUGCAAAAGCUUGCCCACAUUUUGAGAAGUCCACUGGACUUCCACUGGAAUACAUGCCAACAAGUAUGUUAGCUUGACUUAGUUCUGCAAAUGGCAGAGUGUUGAGAGAAAGGAAUCAGAAUUAAAAAGGUAAAGGGACCCCUGACCAUCAGGUCCAGUCAUGGCCGACUCUGGGGUUGCGGCACUCAUCUCGCUUUAUUGGCCGAGGGAGCCGGCAUACAGCUUCCAGGUCAUGUGGCCAGCAUGACUAAGCCGCUUCUGGCGAACCAGAGCAGCUCACAGAAACGCCGUUUACCUUUCCAAUGGAGUGGUACCUAUUUAUCUACGAGCACUUUGACAUGCUUUCGAACUGCUGGGUUGGCAGGAGUUGGGACUGAGCAAUGGGAGCUCACCCCAUCGCGGGGAUUCGAACCGCUGACCUUCUGAUCGGCAAGCCCUAGGCUCUGUGGUUUAGACCAAAUAUUAGAACUAAAUAUUUCAGAGCUCUUAAAAGGGGUGGGACAGGAAUUAUGCUCAGAAGUGAAGUGGUGGUAGUCUUUUGUAGGCAGAAGAGCAAGUCAUUCAGUGAAAGGUGGGGCUGCGAGUACAAAUAAUAUGCAGAUAAGUAAAUAAAUAAAUAGGCAGUGUCAUAGACUGGUUGGACGGAGAGGAAUGGUGGGAGGAACCAGCUACGGAACCCCCAAGGGAAGAAGGCUCAGAGCAUGGAGAGUGGUGGUGGGACAACAAUGAGUGGUCAGACAAAAAAGAGGGAGGAGGUGGUGUCGGAAGCUGAAGACAUAACAGCACUUACAGUUUGGGAAGAGUCUGUGGCAGAGAUAAGUCCAGAAUCAGAAGAAGAAGAGUGGGAUGAGGGAGGCCAAGAGGCAGAGAUGGGUCAGGCUUGUGAAGAGACACGGGGGUCUCCCCCUCCUGCUGUUAGAAGCUUCCCUCCCCACUGGUCUCCUAGAACCAGGAGAGGCAUGAAGCAGAAGGAGCAAAGACAGGCACACAGGCACAGUCUCUGAUUGCUUGUAGAAAACCCUGGAGAGGAGGAGACACAGCCGGCUGUGGGAAGGCAGAAACUUUUAGUCUCAGCAACUGCUUCACGGGUACAAAACUUCAUGGAGAUGAGUUGCUGUGCUCAUUAGGACUGAUGCUCUUGUGCAGAUCCUGUUUUUGCUAAUAAUAGAGACUUAAUUUCAAUGGGCUCGGUGCAAUUUAAUGUUGGCUUGCUCCUGUCAGCCAGGAAGAGUUUGGUGAGGACAAAGUUGCCCAUCUUUGCCUGGGAGUUGCAUCUGUUUUCUUAACAGUUUUGAAGAAAUGCAGACAAAUAGUCAUGGCUUGCUGUCCUUUUGCCCACUAUCCCUGCCUACCUUCUGGAACAGGGGUGGGGAACCUCAGGCCUUGGUGUACAAAUGCACAAAAGCAACAUUACUGUAUCCUGCCUUGGUCAGACCACACCUGGAUUACUGUGUCCAGUUCUGGGUGCCACAAUUUAAGAAGGAUAUUGACAAGCUGGAAAUGAGUUUGUUUAAAUUAUACCAGUACUGAUUCCAGCUUUCCUUUCCCCAGAAAAUUGUGAUCAAGAAUAGCUAUCCUCUAGUAAAACCGGGCUGGAGUAAAAAACCGGCACAUCCAAAAUUAAACUCUGAAGCUGCUGUCACUGUUUAAUGCAUUCCAAAUUUUGGAGAUUGUUUAAGCACAAAUCUCUCAUGGCUUUAGGCUACAAUCUGAUUUGCAUGCCUAAAUGGCAAAUCUCAGCAAAUCUCUGUGUACUGUAAACUCUGUGACUUCAUCCCCUACAUAAGAGCAGCCUCUGUCUAGCAAUACGGAUUGGCAGGAAUGGUCGUUAGCCGUCUUUGUUUUUAAAAAUUGAGUUCUUGUUCUCAACAAAUAAGUGUUGAAUGCAAUGAUUUCUGUACAAAAGAAAAUGCAGAAUUCCUAUAAAUAUAAGUUUUGAAUUUCUGCAGUGUGAAGUCUGCUUGAAAGUCAUAUUCUAAAAGGGUAAGGAUUGCUUUGCUACAUUAGCUAAAGGUACAUCUAGUGUUCUGCUUCCAAUAGUGGCCAGUCUUGACAGACUUAGAAUUUUCUCUUUCAUUUCUGUAUAUGCUGGAUAGACCCAGACAGUAACAAAGGGCUGGGCUGUAAUGGGAAGAUGGGUUUUUUGUAUGUGCAUACAUAUCACAGUUCAGCGAUAGAGCAUGUGCAUUACAUGCUGGCAGUCUCAAAUUCAUUCCCUGGCAUCUUCAGCUAAAAAGGACCGCAGACAGACAUGAGUACUGGAAAAGACCUUGGACUGAAGCGUUUGAGAGCCACUGGCAGCUGGGGUAGGCAAUACGGAACUAAUGGUUCAAGUGUCUGGCUUGGUAAAAGGCAGUUUCAAAUAUAUUCGCAUCCAUUGCUGUGAUUGAUGCUGGUGAUUGAUUGCAGGUGGUUGGACUAGACAAACCUUGGGGUCCCUUCCAGCUCUACAAUCCUAUGAUCUAUGAACAUGUCUACAUAAAUGGUGAGAUCCAAUGUCACACCAGCAGAUUCAAAGAGAUUCCCUUUACUUCCUCCUCGCUGCAGCCUCCUGUACCCCAUGCAAUCUGCUUUGUUGCUCCCCCCACAACUACCCAAAACAGAUUUUAGGGCCACUCAGGACAGGCAGGAGAAAAAGGAGGGCCAGAAAGUCCUAAUUGAGCAAGCAGAGGUCCUUUGCACAAGUGGCAUGCCACAACUGAAUAUAUGAGCCUUUCUUUUUCUUUUUUUAAUGCUACAAGGUGUGACUGGAAAGUUCGGUGAAUGGCCACAGAAAUCGGACAGCGAGAAAUAUUCAAAUAUACAUACCUUACAGGCCUUCAAAGUAGGCCCCCUCUGAUACAAUGCACCAUUGACAACGUUCGUAGAACUGUUGGAAACUUCUGGAGAAGUCCUCUUUUCGUACUGCUUUCAGUCUCCUCGUCACAGCAGCUUGGACAUGUGAAAUGUUGGGAAAUCACUGCCCUCUCAGGGCAGAUUUCAGUUUUGGAAAAAGAAAGAAAUCUGGUGGGGCCAGAUUGGGAGAAUAUGGAGAGUGGGACAACUCAGGAACCUCAGUAAUGAUUUCACGCAGAAAAUGCAAUUCUUCCGCCACCAUUCGGACAGACAAACAUUGAUCCUGCAUCAGUAACUCACGAACUCUGUCGACAUUUGCCACCGUUCUGCUCAGCGACGGUCUGCCAGACCCAGGAUCAUCUUUGAUGGUUUGCCGCCCUUUACAGAAACACUUAAGCCAUUCACACACUGUCUUUUGAGCUUCAUCUCCAUACACAAUUGUGAGCAUUUUGUGGGUUCUUGAUGCCGAUUGUAUGUUUGAAUACUUCUCGCUGUCUGAUUUCUGUGACCAUUCACUGAACUUUCCGGUCACACCUUGUAUAUAUGCGACAUCCCUCUUGUGUAAUGGGAGUUCCCCUUCCUCAACCCUCUGGAGCUGAUUUAGAGGCUGUGCAGGAACUGUAGGGAAGUGAGAAGUUUUGUCGAAGAAGCAGAAAUCUGUUGCGCAAAUGGAAAAGCAGUGUUUAAUACAGCCCAGUGUGUGUAGGCAAAAAAAGUUGCAUGGCAACUGUACACCACAGUAGUAUUGACAUUUGGGGACACAUAACAAGCCUGGUCCACACUUGAACUUGAAGGAAUCUCUGUAAUGGUUACAUUAGUUUUUGUGCAAAACUUAGAAUGCUGGGCUGGGAAUAAUUAUAAUUAUAAUUUAUUAUUUGUACCCCGCCCAUCUGGCUGGGCUUCCCCAGCCACUCUGGGCAGCUUCCAACAAAGAUUCAAAAAUACAUUAAAAUGUCACACAUUAAAAACUUCCCUGAACAGGGCUGCCUUCAGAUGUCUUCUAAAUGUCAGGUAGUUGUUUAUCUCUUUGACAUCUGAUGGGAGGGCGUUCCACAGGGCGGGCGCCACUACCAAAAAGGCUCUCUGCCUGGUUCCCUGUAGCUUGGCUUCUCGCAGUGAGGGAACUGCCAGAGGGCCCUCUGCACUGGACCUCAGUGUCCGGGCAGAACGAUGGGGGUGGGGACGCUCCUUCAGAUAUACUGGGCUGAGGCCGUUUAGGACUUUAAAGGUCAAAACCAACACUUUGAAUUGUGCUCGGAAACGUACUGGGAGUCAAUGUAGGUCUUUCAGGACUGUUGUUAUAUGGUCUCGGCAACUGCCCCCAGUCACCAGUCUAGCUGCCGCAUUCUGGAUUAGUUGUUGGGAAAUCUUUUAGUGUCUUCUAAUUCAUUUAUUUUUUAGGGGAGAGUCUGCAAUUGCCAAUUUGCUUAGUAUUUUAAGAUGUUCUGUGAAGUUAAAUCAACAUAUUUUCAUUAUGCAUUUUCAAGUGCUUGAACUCUGAUAUCAGAGACCAGCAUUUGUCGUGAAGUCUUUACUGCUGAAUGCUUGGGUCCCGUGUCUGAAGCUUCAAGUUCUGCAUAUUAGGAGUAAAUGGGAACGGACAAGAACAGCCCAAACACAAUAGUUUUGUCUUACAUGAUUAUAAUCCUAGGCCAAUAUUUAUGAAGAGCCAACUUCCAGUGGGAAAUUAAACUAAUCUGAAAAGCAUAGUAAAAUUCAAACCAUGUACACUGGGAGAAUUCCUCCAGUGUUUCUCUCUCUUUAAUGCUUAUUAAUAGAGACAAUAGUAAACCUAGAAGGAAGCUGCUUAUAUCCCUUUAGUUUUCAUCAUAACACGGGCUUUUGUUUAGAAAAUCCUGUGCCAGAUCUUGUCAUUUAAUUACUGAGCUCACAUUGUGACUAAACGUGAAAAAAUAACGAAUAAUUUCCCUUGGAAUUCCACUAAGUAAAAUUUGUUAGUGGACUUCUUUUUUUUAAAAGUGCUUUUAAGGUAUCUAGGUUUUCAUGUUUUAGUUUACAGUAUUUUUUAACUUCAUAAUGUUGCUUAUCAUAACUAAUAUCUGUUUUUCUGUUCCGUUUCUCUGGCCUGAUGCAUUUAAAAACACAUGUUGUACAUGCUAUUGGUCUAAAUAAAUUGAAAAAGGGGUAUGUGCUUGGGGGUAUGGGACAAAAAGUGUGGAGGGGGGCACACGUGUCAUUGCUUUCAACAAGGAAGGUUCAUCAGCAACAUGAGAUUAAUAUACAAAAUUCAACAGGGAUAAGGUCUGGAAAAGUUGACAUUUAAAAAGAAGGUGAUUAAAUGAGUCAAGAUAUCCCAUUACCUAGAACACAUCCACAAUCUUUUUUUUUUUUUUUUAAAUAUUUUUAUUGCAUUUUUUCCACAUAGAAAUACAAAGUCGGAUAUACAAAAAAAUAGCAGAAAAGAAAAAAAAAAAAAGAAAAAAAAUCAUCUUUCCAAAGCAUUUUUCCAUAAACCAACCGGACUUCCCCACGUCUCCCUCACCUUGCGUUCUUUACAAUAAAAUUUUUCAGCAAAUUAUAACCUUAUUUUGUGCAUUCUUUUGUUCUUUCAAAUACUUAUGGUUUACGUUUAAAAUGCUUAUUGUCAAUUUACACUAAUAACAUAUAUAAUGUUCUUUUAAACAUUAGUCCUUUCAUUAAUAUAGCUUAGUUUCCCAUACCUUAAUCUUAUUGCUGGAGCUGAAUUUCCCUAAUCAUGCGAAUUCUUAACAUUCAUAUAACUUAUAAAAUUUUUGUAAAUAAUCUUUAAAUUUUUUCCAAUCCUCCUCCAUUGCUUCUUCUCCCAAAUCUCGGAUCCUGGCAGUCAUCUCGGCCAAUUCCAUGUAGCCCAUCAAUUGCGUCUGCCACUCUUCCAGUGUGGGUAAAUCUUGAGUCUUCCAGUAUUUUGCGAUAAGAAUUCUUGCUGCUGUAGUUGCAUACAUAAAAAGGGUUCUAUCCUUCUUUAACACCAUCUGACCGACAAUGCCCAGUAGGAAGGCCUCUGGUUUCUUGGGAAAGGUGUACUUAAACACCUUUUUAACUCAUUAUAGAUCCUUUCCCAGAAGGCCUUCACUUUUGGGCAAGUCCACCAGAGGUGAAAGAAUGUCCCUUCAGCCUCCUUACAUUUCCAACAUUUAUUAUCAGACAAGUGAUAUAUCUUAGCAAGCUUGACUGGGGUCAUGUACCACCUGUAUAUCAUUUUCAUAAUAUUCUCUUUCAAGGCAUUACAUGCCGUGAAUUUCAUACCAGUGGUCCAUAACCUUUCCCAGUCUUCAAACAUAAUGUUGUACCCAAUGUCCUGAGCCCAUUUUAUCAUGGCUGAUUUGACUGUCUCAUCCUGAGUGUUCCAUUUAAGCAGCAAGGUAUACAUUCUCGAAAGUACCUUGGUUUUUGGUUCCAACAAUUCUGUCUCUAGUUUCGAUUUUUCCACCUGGAAGCCUGUUCUUUUGUCCAACUUAAAAACCUCUUGAAUUUGAGCAUAAUGAAGCCAAUUUUGCACCUUAUUCUUUAAUUUUUCAUAACUCUGCAGCCUCCAAGUUUCUCCUACUUUUCUAUAAUUUCCCCAUAUUUCGGCCAACCACCCUCCAUAUUAGGUAUUUUCCGGGCCUUGGCCUCUGCUGGUGAAAGCCACCUCGGAGUCUUACCUUCUAAUAAGUCCUUGUAUUUUGUCCAGACCAUAAAUAUUGAUUUUCUAACAAUAUGAUUUUUGAACAUUUUAUGAACCUUUACCUUGUCGUACCACAAAUAUGCAUGCCAACCAAAAGCGUUAUCGAACCCUUCCAGAUCUAGGACAUCAGUGUUCUCAAGAAGUAACCAAUCUUUCAUCCAGCAGAAGGCCGCAGCUUCAUAAUAUAAUCUCAGGUCCGGCAGGGCAAACCCCCCUCUUUCUUUCGAAUCAGUUAGUAUUUUAAACUUUAUCCGGGACUUUUUGCCCUGCCAAACAAACUUGGAUAUAUCCUUCUGCCACUUUCCAAAACAUUCCACUCUGUCCACAAUCUGUAGGGUUUGGAACAAAAAUAACAUUUUCGGCAAUACAUUCAUUUUUAUAGCUGCAAUUCGACCCAACAAGGAAAGUUUCAAUCUUGACCAGAUUUCCAAAUCUUUUUGAUUUCCAGCCAACAUUUUUCAUAGUUGUCUUUAAAUAAAUUCAAAUUUUUCGCUGACAGGUGAACCCCUAGGUAUUUCACUUUUUUAACCACACUUAGUUCUGUUUCCUUCUGAAACCCAUCUAUUUCUGAAGGUGUCAAGUUUUUCCCCAAAACCUUGGUUUUUGCUUAUUCAACUUAAAUCCCGCCACCCGACCAAACUCAUGAAUCAGUUCUAAUACUCUUUUUGUACUAGAUUCUGGCUCCUGUAAUGUUAAAACCAAAUCAUCUGCAAAAGCUUUCAAUUUAUAUUGUUUCGCUCCGACCUGUAUUCCUUGUAUCAACCGGUCCUUCCUAAUCAUGUUCAAUAACACCUCCAGGACUGAAAUAAAUAAAAGAGGGGAUAGGGGGCACCCUUGUCGUGUCCCUUUUUCAAUUUUGAACUCAUCUGUCACCACAUUGUUCACUAUCAGUUUAGCUUUUGCUCAAAAUAAAUUGCUUCUAUUCCAUUUUCAAACCCCCGUCCCACUCCCAUCCCUUCCAAAUUUCUCUUCAUAAACAUCCAAGAAAUAUUAUCAAAGGCCUUCUCCGCAUCAAUGAAAAUUAAAACAGCUUUCGUAUUGAUAUUAGUUUGUAAAAGUUCCAAAAUAUCAAUAAUGUUCCUAGUAUUAUCAAAGAGAUGUCUCCCUGGGAGAAAGCCUGCCUGGUCCUUAUGAAUUACUUCAUUAAGUAUUUUUUUAGUCUGCUCGCCAAAAUAUCUGCAAAAAUUUUGUAAUCCACAUUUAGGAGUGAGAUGGGACGGUAGUUCUUAAGCUGAGUCUUUUCAGAUUCCAAUUUAGGAAUCAAUGUGAUGAAAGCUUCUUUCCACGUUUCCGGUGCCUUCCUCCCUCCAUAAUCUGGUUACAGACCUCCAUUAGUGGUUGUAUCAAAUAAUCUUUUAGUGUCUUAUAAUACUUGGAGGUAAGUCCAUCUGGGCCUGGAGAUUUGCCUAGUUGCAUAUUCUGAAUGGCACCCUCUAUUUCCUGUUGUGUUAUUCUAUUAUUUAAGAUUGUCCUCUUCUCCUGAGAUAGUUUUGACAAACCGUUAACUUUUAAAAAUUGAUCUAUCUCAGACAUUUCCUGAGGCCCUUGUGUAUAAAGUUUUUUGAAAUAUUUCUGGAAACACUUUCUAAUUUCUUCUGGUUUCUGAAUGUUUCUCCCUUCCACCUCUAGAUUAGUGACAAAGUUCAAUUUUUGUCUCUUUUUCAACUGCCAUGCUAGCAGUUUUCCACAUUUAUUUGCCGAUUCAAAUGAUCUUUGUUUCAUUUGUUUAAUUUUCCAUUCCACUUCUUGAUUUAUCAAUUUCGCAUAUUGAGCUUGGUGGAAUUUGAUUUCUCUUAAAACCUCUUUUGAUUUUGGUUUUAGUCUCAAUUUUUCUCUCCUUCUCUUAUCUUCUCUAAUAUCCUAUCUUUUUUUCCAUUCCAAAGUUUUUCUUGAUUGUGUUCUGUUGUAUCAGAAACCCCUCAUUACAGCUUUACUUGCAUCCCAAAUUGUUCUCUUUUCCACCGAAGUGUUCAAAUUAAUUUCAAAAUAGUCCUUUAAAGUUUUUGGGCCUUCUUCACAAUCUCCUGAUCUCUUAGUAGGGUGUCAUUCAUUUUCCAUCUGAAAGAACCGGUUGGAGUAAGUCUCAAUUCCACUUUCAAAGCAUUAUGGUCGGAGCAAGUCUUUGGACAGAUUUCCACUUUUCUGAUCUUAGGUGCCAGUCCUCUAGUUGUCCAUAUUUGGUCGAUUCUUGUCCAUGAUAGGUGGGCCUCAGAAAAGAAUGUUCCUUCUUUACCUAAGGGGUUCCUUGUCCUCCAAAUAUCAAUCAAGUCCAUGUUGUCAGUUAGUUCAAAGAAGGUUUUAGGUAGUCUGCCGUCUUUAGUUAAAUUUUGAUUUUGUGACUUAUCCAUGUGGGUAGAAACCACCCCAUUCAUAUCACCCAUCAUUAUGAUGUUAGUAUAGUCCAGAUAGUCCAGCAUUAUCUCAUGCAGCUUCUUGUAAAAUUCCGAUUUCCCUCAUUUGGUGCAUAUAUUCCUAAAAUCAAAAACUUUUCUCCUUGUGUUUGUAUCUCAAUUGCCAAAAUUCUUCCUUGCUCAUCUUUAAACAGAAGUUUCGGUGACAGGUUCUCCUUUGCAUAAAUCACUACGCCUCUUUUCUUGACUUUGUCUGAUGAGAUAAAUUCUUGGCCUAGUCUUUUAUUGAUUAACACUUUCCUAUGGAGCCUAGUCACAUGCGUUUCCUGCAAGCAAACAAUAUCCAAUUGUUCUUUUUUCAAAAUAUGAAAAAUCCUUCGUCGAUUUUCCGGGAAUUCCCGCCCGAGAUAUUCCAACUGUACAGCUGCAGAGACAUUCUGAAUCAAUCUGUUGUUCCUAUAGUGGGGUGUCUUCCUUUUCUUCUGGCCCCGAGGGUGUAGGUGUCAGUGCUAUUCCAGGCAGUGGCGGUGGCCAGGAGGCUGCUGCUCCUUCUGAAGGUCUUCUCCGUGGUCGUGCAGGAACUUCUGGUUAUCUUCUGAUGUUUUAAUCUUAAUUUUCUUUCCUUUAAAAUUAAAAGAUAAACCUUGGGGAAACUCCCACCUAUAUGGAAUCGCGUUUCCUCUCAGUAGUCUUGCUAAGUCUGUAUAUGUAGUUCUGAGAUCCAAAAGUUGUUUAGGAAUAUCUCUAUAAAGUUCUGCUCUUUUGCCUUGGAUAUCAAGUGAUUUCUUAAAGUGGAGGCCUAGUAUUUUAUCUCUCUCCUGCUUGGAUCUCAAAAUAAUCAAACAGUCUCUGGGCUUGUCCCUCCUCACGACUCUUCCUAAUCUGAACGCAGUUGUAAUCUUAAAAUCUUUGUCCUCUUCUAUACCCCAGAACUUAGAAAAUUCUGCUGUCAGAUAACCAAUUAAAUCUUCCUGUUCAAGCUCUGGGAUAGCUCUUAAUCUCAGAUUAUUUUCCCGGUUUCUCAAUUCCACCAUAGACAGGUAGGCCUGCUGGUCGCUAACGUGCUUGUGUAGUGGCCUUACCUCUUCUUUUAUAGCCUCAGCUUUUUGAUUUGCUUGUUCUGCUUUUUCAUUGGCUGCUUCAGCCAGUCUCCGAUUUUCCACAGUUGCUUCCUUGAGAUUCCCAAUAACUUGUGUAUGUUGUGCAACUUGGUCAGAUAAUUUAGUAAUAGAGGAUGUGGCUUGGUCUAUUUUUGCCGAUUGGUCAUCCACCUUCUUGUUCAAUAUUGCAAAUUGUUCUAGCAUUUGUUUUAAGAAGGUAUCCGAUCCUCCCUCCGCCAUAUCCUCUGAUGCAGGCCGUGCAGUUUCCUUUUCUUGUACUCCCAAAACAGCUGGGACAGAUGAUCUACGUGACUGAGUAGUCAAAGUUGUUUGCACAAGUUGGGCUUGUCUUGCUUUCGUUUUAGCAGAUCUUGUUUUCGGUUGGCCACUCAUUCCACACCUGUCUAUGAGUCAAGGUCAAAUUAUAUAUUGUCCCAUGGGAAGGACAGUUCCAAAGUGUAAAUAACAAAGCAGCAGAUAGUCCAAAUAAAAUUUGUUCCGAGGCACUUGUAAUUCCAGAACUCCACUAGGGGGAGUAUUACUGUAGUUCAUAGAAAGGAAAGAAAUUUAUCCGCCAUUAAAGUCCCUGCAGCCCCAAAACAGUCUACUUUACCAAAAGUCCUUCAUAAACUUUUUUGGCUUGCAGAGCACUUCCCAAGCUGCCACAAAGUCUCAAAUAAAAGGUGCCAAUAACAGUUUAUUUAAUUGUAUCUUGCCAGUAUCACUCAACUGUAACAGUCUCUAUUUUGAAUACAGUUUCCGCAAUGACAGCUCUCUUUUUCUCCUGUCAGUCCGAGGUUUGGUUCUUAAUUCUUUAUAAUCCAUAAAGGGGAGGAAAGUCCCAUUUGAAAUCCAAAACACUUUGAAAUAAAAGUCCCUUCUCCUUCUUUUUAAAAGCCAAUUCUGUCAACACGAUAGUCCCAAAUUUAAAAUCUUUUAAAGCUGCUUCCCGCUUGUUAAAAUCUUUGCCUUUGAUCUUUAAAGCACUGCCGGAAGACGGACUUCCUGUUUAUCGUCUCCCGCUUUCAGCCAAAUUUAACCCUUUUGGUUCCAAAAUGAUUGAUCCUUACUCACGAGUAGGUAGUUUAGAGCCUGAUGUUCCAAGAAGAAAGGUCGGCGCUCAUCAGCAGCAGCCGCGCGGCUUCAGCUCCCGCAGAAAGAGCGAUGAACUCACAGCACCGCUCCCCUUCCACGUUUCCGGAGCCCCUUACGGGGUUCCUUCUUCGCUUCUGGGGUCGCUCCUGGUGCCCGCCGAGUCCCACGGCCACGGGCUCACUCUGCCCGUGGUUUUUCUUAAUGGGUCACCGCUGUGCCGCAGCGGACGACCCUUUCCUGCGGAGCCCCUCUUCAGAAANNNNNNNNNNNNNNNNNNNNNNNNNNNNNNNNNNNNNNNNNNNNNNNNNNNNNNNNNNNNNNNNNNNNNNNNNNNNNNNNNNNNNNNNNNNNNNNNNNNNAAGGAGGUGGAGGGCUGGAUCAGGUGAUGCUUCCUCCGCUGGGAUGUCUGGCUCUAGCUGGUUGAUUAUGUCUCCCAAUGCACCAUUCAGCCCCUUCCUGACAUCAGACUCAGUGACCUCAUCCCAAUCCUCUUCCACCUCCAACCAGUCCUCCCAGGACAUCCCCACGGGGCUCAAGAGAGGUAUCACCUCUUUAGCUGAAGAGGCACCCACUCAAUCAAAUCCCCUUCCACUAGCACAUGAACACAAACUGGAUUCCAACCAAUAAAAACAUUUCUAGAGGUGUAAGAAUGGCAUUUAUACAGCCUCAUUAAUCUUCACAGCAACACGGUAAGGUAGGAAAGAUUCAUUCUGCCCAUACUUCAGAUGGUGCAAGUCUCUGUGCUGCAUAGUUACCAUACACUUAAGGCACCCCUCUCCAAGAAACUGGGGAACUGUGAUUUACCCCUCACAGAGCUACAAUUCCCACGAUUCUUUGGAGAAAAUAAUGUGCUUUAAAAGUAUGAUGUGUAUGAAGCCUAAGUCUGAGAGAACGUGCCUUGCCUGAGGUGAGAUCAUGGCUGAGAUGGACUAUGGGUUGAGGACUUCCUCUCGCACGUCCUGAACCACUACAUGCGACUGGCUCCUGUUAUUAAUUUUAAUUCCUCUUCUUUCUGAAGUGGAAAGUCUCCCUCUCACACACAAUGAUUUUCAUAAUGGUAUUUGUUUGAAAUUGCCCACCCCCAGAAGAAAGGAAAGAGAAACUCUCAGUUGUACAGAAAAGUGAUGUGUUUCAACAAAAAUCUUGUUCUGGGGGCAUAUAUAUAUAUAUAUAUAUAUAUAUACUGAAAUGUCUGAAGGGCUUGGAAAAGAUCCAAUAAAAAUGUCUAAAAAGAGGAAUAAGAGGCUAUAAAAUGUGUAAAAAGAUAUUUCUCUUUUCAGAAAAUUUUAUCUGAUCUUUUUCAAGUCUUUUAGACAUUUCAUACACACAUACACACACACACACACAGAAGAUUUCCCCCCCCCCACAAUGCUCUGGGCCUACUAAACCAUUUCCCUGUGCACCUGAGAGUCUCUCUUUCCUCCCUUUGCCCUCUGCUCUAAUUUGUGGUCUUCCUAAAUUUCUUCAGUCAAAAUUAGGGUUUUCUCUGCUACCUUUUGGAGAUUUUUACGUUGAAGCUCUUUCAAAGAAACUCCAAAACACACACACCCCCUCUAAAAAUGAGGGGAAUUUAUCAUCUCAGAAAUAAAUUAACCCUGUGUCAAGGCCUCCAUGCAACCAUUUCAUAGAAUGCAGCUGUAGGAAAAAGCCUGGAUGUAAUCAGUUCCAGACAUGCCAACCUAGAGGGGCGCUUGUGUACAUUCACAUGGGACAGGCAGGAUUCCAAGUGGCUUGUCAUGUACAGAUGUUCAGAAAGCAACAUUUGCAUUGGCUAAAAAAUGGAUCAUGGGUGGAAUUUUCUGAAAAAAGAAGAUGCUUGGCCAUGCUGCAGCAAGACUUGGCUCAUUUCUCUGUAAUUCAUGUGGGGGCACACAUCAGGGUCCCCUGGCACAUUGGAGAUUCAGGACAUGGGAAGCUGAUCCAGAUACAGAGGAAGUCAAGAUACUAGUAGGUUCAGGGAUCUAAGCCUCGUCACCACUGGGUUUUACAUCCCUGUAGCACUGCCACCUACAGGCAGGGGGAAAAUGGCGGGUGAUGUGGGAGGCAGUGAUUUCAAUGUCUAGUACAGUCAUACCUCGGGUUGGAAAUGUGAUCCGUGUGGGAGGCACGUUCGUAACCCGCAGCGUUAGCAGCCUGAAGCGCCGCGUCUGCGCACGCGCAUGACAUGAUUCGGCAUUUCUGCACAUGCGCGUGACGUCAUUUUGCGCUUCUGCGCAUGCGUGAGUGCCGAAAACCAGAAGGAACCCAUUCCGGUACUUCCGGGUUCAAUCCAAAAACGCACAACCCGCAGUGUUCGUAACCCGAGGUAUGACUUACAGUGUCAUUACACACACACACACACAGAGAGAGAGAGAGAGAGAGAGAGAGAGAGAGAGAGAGAGUCAUACAUGGCCUUAUCCAGAACCACAACUGCCUUUAGCUAUGCAGAGCAGAUAUGGAUAAGAUGCGGGCAGCUAGCUCAGAAGGACUGAUCCAGAAGAGUGGAUCAGUACUGUUUGGCAAAUAUGCUUAAUAGGAAAAUGUAUUGGUUGCUUGAGACCACUCUUAAACACAGCAAGAAGGCCUCAGUUUUUAACCAGCAGACCUACCUUUUAUCUGUGGUCUCCAAUAUAUAUUGAUGUUUUCCGAUAUCCCCUUGGUCAGCAGGUUGGGAGUCAGCACCCCCUUGAAUCAUUAGCUGGGACCCUUUUGUGAAGUUUGGAACAUUUCUAGAGUUACAACGUUUAAAAUUCUUCUUCUUCUUCAUCACCAUCACCAGCAACAUCAUCUUCCCACGUUAUAUUUUAUGUAAUUAAUGUUCCUCUUUUUCAUUUUACAGGUGAAUAGCUGAACCCAAGAACAGGGCAAGCAGUCACUUCGGCCAGCUUGCAUAAAGUUGGUUGUCCAACCUUGCAGAGCCAUGUCUUACAGAAGCACAACACGCCUCCACUGGAAUUCAGGCAUUUAAUGUCACCAGCCCCAUGCUGUGGGACAUUCUUUCAGCAGAGAUUUGACAGACUUGCUAGCUUUUCGCCUUUCAUGCUUUGAAGAUCUUUUAAUGCCAACUAGCCUGUGCCAUAGUUUAAAAUGUUCUUGAGUAGCCAAUCAUCUUAAUGAUUGUGCUGUACUGCUUUUAAUGGUUUCUAAAAUGUGCUUUGUAUUGCUUUGCACUGCCCUGAUAUGUGUGAGAGUGCGGUAUAUAAAUACAAAUGGAAUAAAGGAAAACAUUGGGACACAGCAUUUUCUGAAAAAACUGACGCAAAGACUUUGUGUGGCUAGAGGGAAAAAACACAUUAUACUUUUAUGAUGGACUGCUGGCCAUUCAUCUAACAAAGAUUCUACAGGACAAAUUGACCUGCUGCAUCCCACAGUAUAUGGUUGUUAACAGGUUCCUUUAUAUUGAUACCAGCAACUUCCGGAC